rnacentral:lncRNA from 1 species
AAGGCUUUCAAAGUGCCGAGGAGAAAAACCGGCCUGCUCUUGCCAUUUCCACACUCUGCAAAGCAGUGCACUUUGGGCAAAAUGAAGCCUGAUUCAGAGAGCACCGUGUGCGAGAGCUACCUCUUGCCCAGAGUGGAAGGUAAGCAUGUAUUUAUUUUAUUUAUUUAUUUUUAGGCCUGCAAGCUGUGAAGAGCCACUGUUGAAACAGGUGUGGUAAAGAGAUGCACGCAUAAAGGACUAUUGUGUGUUGAGAGCUCAGAAAGUUGUUGCAGCAGGCGAGUGAACAAAAUGGCGGCCUGGAUAGAUUGAAACUCAAGUGAGAGAAACAGUCCCUUUGGGAAAAGUCUUCUCAUUCCUCUUGAUAAGCGGUUCUCAAACUUCUUUAUUUUUGGUUUGUUCCACCAGCUUUGGUUCUAUAAAUUCAUCCCCAACCCUAAGGAGGACAAUAACACAAUAGAAUUCAGAACAGCAACAGUCAAUUGCACAUUCUGUUCAAAACCCAGCCCAAACUUCUUCCUCUUUUAAUUUAAUUUUAAGAUUUUGAAAUUUACAAACAAUUGUCAAACAACCAAAACAGAAAGAAAAUUCCAUAAAUUUCCAUGGACAUCUUCUCUAUUAAUCCAAUUCUAUUAAAUCUCCACUGCAGCCAUAGUCCAACGUUAAACUACAAGUGUCAUUCCAGUCCUACUAUUAAUUUUAAUUGUUUACAAUGAUUUCUAAAGUAAAUUAUAUAUAUUUCUCCAUUCCUGAUUAAAAUUUUGGUCUUCCUGUUUUCUAAUUCUUACGGUCAUUUUUGCCAUUUCAGCAAAAUCCAUCAGUUUAAUUUGCCAUUCUUCUCUGGUAGGGACUAUAUCUUCUUUCCACCUCUUGGGCUAGUAACGUCUGAGGAGCACGCUUUCUGUUUUGGUGGUUUGACAAUUGUUUGUAAAUUUCAAAAUCUGAAAAUUUAAUAAUAAUAAUAAACACCCAGCCAAAACUAUUUAGUUUAACUAAUUCAACAACAACAACAACAAAUUUAUUAUUUAUACCCUGCCCAUUUGGCUGGGUUUCCCCAGACACUUUGGGCAUCUCACAACAUAUCUAAAAACGUAAUAAAGACAUCAAACAUUAAAAACUUCCUGAUACAGGGCUGCCUUCAGAUGUCUUCUAGAAGUUAUGUAGUUCUUUAUCUCCUUGGCAUUGGAAGGGAGGGCGUUCCACAAGCAGGGUGCCACUACCAAAAAUGGAUGGCCUUGAUCCAGAGAUGUCAGAUAACUGCAUUUCAAAUAUUUUUACUAAUGGAAAUGUAAGGAUGAAGGCAAGGCAUAGCAUAAAAGACUUAUAUGUAACAUGCACAAACCCUUAGUUGUUACCUGUGUGGUAACUAAUUAUAGUGGUACCUUGGUUCUCAAACUUAAUCCGUUCUGGAAGUCCCUUCCAAAACCAAAGCGUUCCAAAACCAAGGCACGCUUUCCUAUAGGAAGUAAUGCAAACUAGAUUAAUCCGUUCCAGACUUUUAAAAACAACCCCUAAAACAGCAAGUUAACAUUAAUUUUACUAUGUAACGAGACCACCGAUCCAUAAAAUGAAAGCAAUAAUCAGUGUAAAAAGGUAAAGGUAAAGGACCCCUGACAGUUAAGUCCAGUUGUAAAUGACUCUGGGGUUGCAGUGCUCAUCUCAUUUUAUUGGCCGAGGGAGCCGGCGUACAGCUUCCGGGUCAUGUGGCCAGCAUGACUAAGCCGCUUCUAGCGAAACCAGAGCAGCGCACGGAAAUGCUGUUUACCUUCCUGCCAGAGUGGUACCUAUUUAUCUACUUGCACUUUGAUGUGCUUUUGAACUGCUAGGUUGGCAGGAGCUGGGACAGAGCAACGGGAGCUCACCCUGUCACAGGGAUUCAAACUGCCGACCUUCUGAUCAGCAAGCCCAAGAGGCUCAGUGGUUUAUACCACAGCGCCACCCAUGUCCCAAUUAAUAAUCAAUGUACUGUACUAUAAAAUAAAUAAGACAGUACUGUAUUGUAGAUGAUAAAAAUUCUUAGCUGCACUGAUAAUAGUCAUUGUUUGGAUUGGAGGCUUUUAUCCACUUCCGCAGAUGCACAUUCAGUCAAUCAAUCAGUAGCUGAACUGGAUUCCACACAGUCACAAAAACAAAUUAACUGAAAAAGCCCCAAAAGCAGAAGCACCAAACUUAAUCCGUUCCAGAACUCCGUUUGACUAACGAAAUGUUCAAAAACCAAGGCGCAGCUUCUGAUUGGUGCAGGCACACUGGAAACAAUAGCCGACAGCUGCAUUGGACGUUCAGCUUCCGGAAAACAUUUGAAAACUGGAACACUUAUUUUAGGGUUUUUGCCGUUUGAGAACCAAGGCGUUUGAGAACCCAGACGUUUGAGAACUAAGGUACUAACUGUAUAAGCAAAUCAAUAGCUAUUACCAAUAAUUUGCUUGUGGAUUGUGACGACUUAGAUCCGAAAAUACAAACGAAGGGAAUAGUUCUGGAAGCGACCAGAGCAGUAAAAUUUAAGUAUCCAGUGAAGAACAUGUUUUGCUCUGCUUCAUUUCCACUCGUGUCUGUUGUAGCCUCCAGCAGAAAGCGUGUAACUUUCUAUACCACGAAUAUGUUCCCGUUUAUUUAUUUGUUUUGUGUCCCGCUUCCGUCAUGCUUUAUAGUGCAAGAGCGCCCCUCCGGACGGCGAUAAUGCGGUAACAUUGGGGAAGUAUUGCAGAACAACUAGUAAAGCAGAAUGUCGUGCCGACGGUCCAGUAUGAAUCCACAACAAUUUUGUUCUUGUUCCAUGUUUGCCGCUACUGAAAAAAAAUGCCCAAAGGGGCAUCAUUUGCUUUUGAAACUGAGAGUCCCUUCUUUGCGUUAUGAGUUUGGGGAGGGGUAGGCUAUACGCGGAGGCCCUUUUAAUUCCUGGAUUAGUCAGGCUAGUUUCUUGGUGAGGUAUUGGCUCUAAGACCCUUUGCCUUUUUAUGGGUCGUUAAGGUAACAAAGGAAGUGGCUCUGUGCCAGAUGACAGGCGAAUAGGUUCCCCCUCCCUCAACUCGCUGGUAGUUAAAAAGACAGCCCAGAGUUGGCUGUUUUGAGUUAAGUGCGCUAGAAGCUAGAGGAACAGGCAGGCUGGAACCCGAGAGAGGGAGACAUGCUUGAAAUCUGCUUGAUUGGGGUGUUAAUUCUGUGAACCCUUCCAUUGUAGGCUCAGGUUGUAGAUAUGUGUGUAUACAAUCCAGUCGUGCAAAAACCAGGAGUUUCUGCACCACAUUUAACACAAGAGGCAUUGCACAUAUCCAGCGUAGUGGGCAAUUUAUGAUUUUGCUAUUUCAUAUUAUUUGAUGCAUUGAUUGCCGUUUUGUUACAUCUUGGUUUUGUAUUAAUGGGACGUUCCCUUCUGCAGGGACUUACCUACCAAAAAAUGGUGUAUAAAUAAAAUGUGGACUGUCCUGCCUUGGAGGUUUCUAAGCAGAGGUUGGAUAGCCAUCUGUCAUGCAUGAUCUAGCUGAGGUUCCUGCAUUGCUGGGGGUUGGACUAGAUGACCCUCGGGGUCCCUUUGAAUUCUACGAUUCUGUGAUUUUAUAAUGCAACAAUUAAAGGGCAAAUCCUGACCAUGCAAAACCACUCAGAGCUGGGCCAGUGAGGGGGUGUGGUCUUCCAUCAUGUAGAUUGGAUUGGUGAGUUCCUCACUGGUUGUUGUUUAGUCGUUCAGUCGUGUCUGACUCUUCGCGACCCCCUGGACCAGAGCACGCCAGGCACUCCUGUCUUCCACUGCCUCCCGCAAUUUGGUCAAACUCAUGUUAGCAGCUUCGAGAACACUGUCCCACCAUCUCGUCCUCUGUCAUCCCCUUCUCCUUGUGCCCUCCAUCUUUGCCGACAUCAGGGUCUUUUCCAGGGAGUCUUCUCUGCUCAUGAGGUGGCCAAAGUCUUGGAGCCUCAGCUUCAGGAUCUUUCCUUCCAGUGAGCACUCAGGGCUGGUUUCCUUCAGAAUGGAGAGGUUUGAUCUUCUUGCAGUCCAUGGGACUCUCAAGAGUCUCCUCCAGCACCAGAAUUCAAAAGCAUCCAUUCUUUGGUGAUCAGCCUUCUUUAUGGUCCAGCUCUCACUUCCAUACAUCACUACUGGGAAAACCAUAGCUUUAACUAUACAGACCUUUGCUGGCAAGGUGAUGUCUCUGCUUUUUAAGAUGCUGUCUAGGUUUGUCAUUGCUUUUCUCCCAAGAAGCAGGUGUUUUUUAAUUUCGUGACUGCUGUCACCAUCUGCAGUGAUCAUGGAGUCCAAGAAAGUAAAACCUCACACUGCCUCCAUUUCUUCUCCUUCUAUUUGCCAGGAGGUGAUGGGACCAGUGGCCAUGAUCUUGGGUUUUUUGAUGUUGAGCUUCAGACCAUAUUUUGCGCUCUCCUCUUUCACCCUCAUUACGAGGUUCUUUAAUUCCUCCUCACUUUCUGCCAUCAAAGUUGUGUCAUCUGCAUAUCUGAGGUUGUUGAUGUUUCUUCCGACAAUCUUAAUUCCGGCUUGGGAUUCAUCCAGCCCAGCCUUUCGCAUGAUGAAUUCUGCAUAUAAGUUAAAUAAGUUAGUACUUUGCAAACCACCUGAACAUCCCAAACAAACCAACCCUGUAAGGUGUGUAAGGAGCAUAAUGCCACACUUCAGAUCCCUUCCUGUGUAAAAUCCCGAAGGAUACAGUCCAGAGUGACCCAUGGCAUCCUCGCUUGCCCCUUUGCUCACCAUCUCUGGUGCACUAAAGCAUUUUAACACCGCAGACUCUGGGGUGUCAAAAUGCAAUUCUUGUGUAACGUUCUGUUCUGUCCGGGAAGCAAAUGUUCCAUCACUUCCCUCCCUCCCCAACUCCUCUUCUUUCUAUAGCGUAGGAGACAUCGGGAGAAAAACGAAGUUAGCGAGGAUUCUCCACCACCCGAGCUGGAAUGAUGGAAAGCGCGAAAGUAAACAAAUUUGGAGCAAAACCUUUCCAAAGUGCCACCGAUGAUUGAGAGCGAGUGUGCUUUAAAAACAGAGCGCUGAAGUGGGCAGGCUGUCGUGGCAAAAUGCCACAUCAAAUUGGUCUGUUGGUUUAAAGCGCUGGAAAGUUUAUUAUCGUUCAACAUCCAAGGGCUUAGCUUUUCUAAGACGAAAAAAGCAGAGAGUUUAUGUUUCGCAAGUGAGGAAUCUCAAGUGGGGAGGAGAAAAGCAGGGCUCCCCCCAACAGGUGAUUCCACAACUGCAAACGUCCCUAUUUUCCAGGGACCGUCCCGGAUUUACAGAAGUCAUCCCGGUUUCUGAUAUGAUGUGAGGUAGCUCAGUGGGUUAGAGCAUGGUGCUGAUGAUGCCAAGGUUGCAGGUUCGAUCCCUACAUGGUACAGCUGCAUAUUCCUGCACUGCUGGAGGGUCAGGCUAGUUGAUCCACAGGAUCCCUUCCAACUGUGUUCCUCUCAACAGUGAUUUAUGUGUUGUGGAUAGAGAGAUAAUUUAUUGCGGUCGGGGACCAGCUUAUAAAACACACUUGGGGGUAAAAUCCCAGAAAGAAAACAGUUAAAACAAUGUACAACAAUAAAUUUAAAAUUUAUAAAUGCGAUAAGCAUCUAGACACUUAAAACUUUAAGAUAAGCUACCGCAGAGAGAUGACCCAGAGUCACCCAUGGAACUGAGUUUGGGGAUUUUCUUCACGAACUAGUUUGAGUCGGGGGACGGUCUGCGCCUACAGAUCUGUACACAGAAUCUGGCGACCAUCCGGGUCGUCUUCUGGUCUUUGCCUAACAGGAAAAGGUCGAAUUUUUGCUUUUCCAGGAGGUCAGCGAGCCUCACCAGCAGGGGAUCAAUGGUCUCACUACGUGCCUCUUCAUAAAAGGGACAUCUAAAGAACAAGUGCUCUGGGCUUCCUAUAUCACCCAAUGGAUGGGCGCAAAGUCUCUGAGCAUAUGGGACUUUUUUAAAGGCUCCUUCCAGGACCGGCGAGGGCAGAGCCGAGCUUCUGGCAAGUGUAAGGCCCUUCUAGCAUUUUUGGAUACGAGAAAGAAGAGAUAUGCUGCUGAUGCGGCUAUAUAUCUCCCGAUUUCUCCAAUUUUAUAGUCGGGGCACCUUGAGCAGUCCUGUUGUCUCUCGGUGUCUAUGAUUCUUUACGUGACUGUAGCUUUUGCCUGGCCCAACCCCAGACUUAGGAGGGCUUGAGGGGCAAAACCCAGUUUCUGAAGGGUGUUCAGUACUGCUGUCAGCCAGCCUGACUGAUUAUGUGUUGUGAGUUGACGAUUUGCAUAGUUGGCCAUAUUGAUGACUCCCCCCAUCCCCUUAGCAGGCUGGUGCUAAAAGCUCUCCAGUUGUUGGUAAAAUUGGUUUCUGUACGCCUCCACUGCAGCAAGAGUACUCUACGCACAAAAAUGGAAAACAUCAGAAAUCCCAACAAAAGAGGAAUGAGUACUCAAGAGGAAUGAGGCACUCAGAAAUGGCGGAACUCGUGGUUUAAAUAAGGAAUCAGAAAGAUGAAAUAUCUUUGGAAGAAUGGAGACCCUUUUCAGUCUAGAUAAGACCACAAUACAGCCAAAUAAAAGUUCAAACAGGUUUUGACUUACGAGCAAUGGAAAGAAAAUAGAAAAACAUUGUACAGUAAUAGAGGGUUUAGGUCAGGGGUCAACAAACUUCUUCAGCAGGGGGCCGGUCCACUGUCCACUGUCCACUGUCCACUGUCCACUGUCACUGUGGGGGGCCAGACUAUAUAUAUAUAUAUAUAUAUAUAUAUAUAUAUAUAUAUAUAUUUGGGGGGGGGGGAAUGAACAAAUUCCUAUGCCCCACAAAAAACCCAGAGAUGCAUUUUAAAUAAAAAGACACAUCCUACUCAUGUAAAAAUACGCUGAUUUCCGGACCUCCUGUGGGCCGGAUUUAGAAGGCGAUUGGGCCGGAUCCGGCCCCCGGGCCUUAGUUUGCCUACCCAUGGUUGAGGUGAAUAGGUAAGGUUAAGAGGUUGGACUGGCAGCAGGCAGGAGAGAGAACGAGACCCUCAUGGAUGUAAGGAUGAGAAGUCGCCAAGAUAAAUAGAUUUUGAUGUAAAUUGUAUGUUAUAUGAUCUGAAUGUAAGUCAAUGUGAAAAAAUAAACAUAUUUUCAAAGAAAAGAACAAGCUCUCCAGUAGUACAGGGGCUUUUCUGGGCACUUAGACAUGAGAUUUGUAAGGGUAGCUCGACAGGAAUGCCGAGUGUCAAACUGCUACCUUUUGGAAGAUUUGCACCUGCAAUUUAACUACCAGUGGCUUUUCCCUUAAUGUACUUUGAAAAUACUUUUGAUUAAAAGCCUGGCUAGUGAGAGAAGCAAGUGUAAGGCCUGCCAAACCUUUGAUCAACCCUGUUAAUUUAUCAAGCCCAGAAAGUGUGGCGUGGACUUUGCCAUUUAAGCAUUGCUAGCAACGCACAGCAGAUUGUACUGCGUAAGAAGAAAACCGAUAGCUGAACUCCCUCCAGCUUUUGUGACUCAAGGAGCUAAUGGAAUUAUUUUCUUGGGUUGUCGAUAAGAUGCGACUGUGAUUGAUGGCGCAUGCUGCCGCCUCAUUUAUAGAGCGCCCCAUAUUAUCUCUGAGGGUUGUGCACACUGGAUUAGGCAGCUUUAAUUCCCGAUGGAUUAAUCAUAGAUAAAUGUUCCCUUUUGGGUUUUAUGCAUGCAGUAACAAGCUCAGGCUAGGAGUACAUGCAGAGCAUAAGUUUUCAGUAAAUGAUAAUGGGGGAUGUAAUCCACUGGGAGCAGUCAAGUACAACAUUUCUUGUUUUCCUAGCGUGGACAUGUAAGGGGAUGUUUGGUCCAGCCAAUUGAAACUUCCUGUUUCCUCCUGGGCUGGAGCAUCCUUCCUUGCAUGUGACUAGAAGUGGGUGUGACCUUACCUGUCCAGGUAACAAAAAGGACAAGUCACAUAGCACUCUCUCUCUUUUUGACUUUCUUCUUCGUUGGACCAGCUUUUUAGCUAGGGACUGCUAUGUUAGCUUUCAGCUAGCAUAAACACCGGGAUUAUAUUCCCAUAUGGGGUAGAUCCACAUGUACAUAUUUGUAACUAAGUCUGCCUUCAGGGAUCCAACUGUGAACUGAUGUGAGUAAACUUCUUUUAUUGACUUUAGGUAAGAUUGUUUGCAGUGAUAGUUUUAGCUAUAGUAUGAGAGGGGAAAGUAUACUACAGUGGUGUGUGUGUGUAUGAGUGUAUGUAUGUGUUUUCUUUAAAGAGAGAGGGGUGAGGGGGAGAGAAAAAGAGAGAAGGAAGAGGAGAGAAGGGAAGAAGAGGAGGGGGUGGGAGAGGUAACAAUAGCAGUGGCAGUGGUGUGGGGAAAAGUUUUGUUUUAAAGGAGGGGGUUUAGGUAAGAUUAUUGUGUCUUUAUUCUUUUAAGAGGGAUUAAAGGGAAUUUACCAGGAACUAUACAAUUCAAUCUGAGACAGACUGAAAUUGUAUAAUAGUGAGAGGCUUACACAAGCCUGCAACCAGCUAUCUGCCGUGCAUGUAAAGGGGAAUGUAAACUCUGCUACGUAAAGGAACUUGCUAGCGCAAGUUAGGAAGGAUAUUAAUAAACAAUAUAUCCUCUCCUGCCUCCCUGAACAUUCCCACAGAUAAUUUGGUCCCCCUGCUUUAUUAGGUUAAAAUGUAGAGCAUGGGGGGGACUUCAGUUGCACAGUGAGGCUUGAAUAUUUGGCCGAUGAGUAUGAGUUGAGAUGAGAGAGAGAAAAUAGCACAUACAUUGUCUGGAGAGAAUAACAAACAAAAUGGCAUUUGGUGAGUUUGCAUAUCUGCAUCCUCUUUCAGCCUAACUGAAUACAGUCUCCUUCAGUGCUUCCCAAACCUCUUUGGCAUGUUGCAAUUCUCUGAUGUGUAUGAUCUGUGAGUCUUCUACUGAAAGACAGAUAAUGGCCUUUGCUUGCUUAUCUUGGUUAUCCCAUUUUUCAAAAUUAGCAGCUGGGCAUGGGUCAGCAAUAACUCUGCCACAAAGCUUCCUUACCAAGGAGAUUCUAUAUUUUGAACUUCCACAGCUGAAAAUUUUGCUCGUUCAACUUGCGGAUUAUUGUAUUUGCAUACAUUCUAGCCAUUUUGUUUGCCAUUCUCUUCAGACAAUAUAUCUGCUAUUUCUUUCAUCUCCACUCAUCCUGCAAACAGUUCCUGCAUAAAUAAAGCCUUUGAACUCCAUAAACUGUAAGUCACUAUUCCAAUCUAAUUCACCUAAACAGCACGUUCUGCUAACACCAGUGUGCUAACUCCAAGUGUUUUAUAUAGAAGCACAGUUGGUAUUUCCACCUAUCCUAUAACCAUCUUGGGAGGACUGGUGCUUAUUAUUGAUUAAAGUUGGAGUCUUGACAAAUUACUUUCCCCAAUGAAUUGGAAACCAUCAGUCAGUCACUUGCCCUUGAGAAAGCUUCAUCUUUUAGUCUUUAGUUAUUAUAAGACCACUUUCGAAUGAUGUUUUAUUAAGCAUUCAUUCUGAUUUGUUCAUGACAUUGCACCAAGCAAACGUUGCCCCACACUUUCCAGUACAUUUCCCUGUGACUUUGCUUUGUGCAAAGAUUCCAGUGUUGGAGGGGAGAGAGGAGUGAGGUUGUUGCAGUAGAGCCCUUCCAUUUAAACAGCUGGCAUGGAACAGGAAUCCCAACAAACAGAAGAGGCAUCUAGCUAAUUUGGUAUUUGUGCUAGUUUGCCAUCAACUUUAUAUAGAACUUGAAAGCCUCGUUAUCACUCCAUUCACUGUCCAGAGCAAGGAGGGUUCCUCAGUUACUUUGGCGCUCUUGCGGGUGACGUCAUUGCUCUGUAUUUUUUUUUAAAAAGCCACGGACCCUUGUUCAUUCUCCUUUAUAGCAUGGCUUGUACCGUUAACAAGACGUCUGUACUAUAUCACGAUUACUGUUAAUGGUGGUGUUAAGGGCUAAGAUGGUUUUGUCGCUUAUCAGAAAUAACAGCCUAAAAUAAUUGGGUGCUAACAGUCCUUUAGCAGAUGCUUUAAAUUAGCACCUCUCCUUUGCAGGUUACUCACAUUUCCUGUUAAGGUGUUUCUCUCCUCACCCCCCCUUUUUAAAUGCCACUUUUGAUCAUGCGUUAGUUUUAUGAGGUGAAAAUUACCCACUCCAUAAACAUUUCUCUUUCAAUACAUGCUUUUGCCGCCUAAUGAAAAGCACUUAUGAGUAAGCACUCUCGUGGGUGAGAUGAGAUCUCAAGCUCUCACUAUUAUGUCGGGGAUCUUAAGAAUUCAUUAUGUGUGCAGAGGGGGAAGGAGUUCUGAGCUGAAACAACUACAGACAUUAUAAACACCCCCCCCCAAUGCAUGCUACUAUAUAAUGCUUUUAAACUGUGUGAUGCAGCAGCAAAAAAGCUAAUGGUAUUCUAGACAGCAUCAACAGAAUUCUAGUGUCCAGAUCAAGGGAAGUAAUGUUGUUGUUGUUUAGUCGUGUAUGACUCUUUGUGACCCCAUGGACCACAGCACGCCAGGCACUCCUGUCUUCCACUGCCUCCCGCAGUUUGGUCAAACUCAUGUUAGUAGCUUCGAGAGCACUGUCCCACCAUCUUGUCCUCUGUCGUCCCCUUCUCCUUGUGCCCUCCAUCUUUCCCAACAUCAGGGUCUUUUCCAGGGAGUCUUCUCUUCUCAUGAGGUGGCCAAAGUCUUGGAGCCUCAGCUUCAGGAUCUGUCCUUCCAGUGAGCACUCAGGGCUGAUUUCCUUCAGAAUGGAUAGGUUUGAUCUUCUUGCAGUCCAUGGGACUCUCAAGAGUCUGCUCCAGCACCAGAAUUCAAAAGCAUCAAUUCUUCGGCGAUCAGCCUUCUUUAUGGUCCAGCUCUCACUUCCAUACAUCACUACAGGGAAAACCAUAGCUUUAACUAUACGGACCUUUGUUGGCAAUGUGAUGUCUCUGCUUUUUAAGAUGCUGUCUAGGUUUGUCAUUGCUUUUCUCCCAAGAAGCAGGCGUCUUUUAAUUUCGUGACUGCUGUCACCAGAAGGGAAGUAAUAGUACCACUCUAUUCAGCCUUGGCCAGACCACACCUGGAAUACUGUGUCCAGUUCUGGGCACCACAGUUUAAGAAGGAUGUUAAUAAGCUGGAAGGUGUGAGGAGGAGUGCGACUGAGAUGAUAAAGGGUCUGGAAACCAAGCCUUAUGAGGAACAGUUGAAGGAGCUGGGUAUGUUUAGUCUGAAAAAGAGGAGACUGAAAGGAGAUAUGAGAGCCAUCUACUAAUAUCUAAAGUGCUGUCACAGGGAAGAUGGAGCAAGCUUAUUUUCACCUGCUCUGGAGGGUAGGACUCGAACCAAUGGCUUCAAGUUACGAGGAAGGAGAUUCCAACUAAAGAUCAGGAAGAACGUCCUGACAGAAAGAGCUGUUCAUCAUUGGAACGGACUCCCUCUGGAGGUGGUGGACUGUCCUUCAUGGGGGGGCUUUUAAGCAGAGGUUGGAUGGCCCCCUGUCCUGGAUGCUUUAGCUGAGAUUCCUGCAUUGCAGGGGGCUGGAUCAGGCAUGACCAAACUUGGCCCUCCAGCUGUUUUGGAACUACAGUUCCCAUCAUCCCUGACCACUGGUCCUGUUACUUAGGGAUGGUGGGAGUUGUAGUCCCAAAACAGCUGGAGCGCCAAGUUUGGCCAUGCCUGGACUACAUGAAUCCUGGGGUAACUUCCAAGUCUACAAUUCUACAGUGGUCAAUUCUGUGUCCAGAGCAGCUGUUUACCAGCUCCAUCUGGUACGCAGGCUGAGACCCUCCCUGCCCGCGGACUGUCUCGCCAGAGUGGUGCAUGCUCUGGUUAUCUCCCGCUUGGACUACUGCAAUGCGCUCUAUGUGGGGCAACCUUUGAAGGUGAUCCGGAAACUACAACUAAUCCAGAAUGCGGCAGCUAGACUGGGGACUGGGAGUGGCCACCGGGACCAUUUAACACCGGUCCUGAAAGUCCUACAUUGGCUCCCAGUACGUUUCCGAGCACAAUUCAAAGUGUUGGUGCUGACCUUUAAAGCCCUAAAUGGCCGAAGGUCCUGUAUACCUGAAGGAGCGUCUCCACCACCAUCGUUUAGCCCGGACACUGAGGUCCAGCGCCGAGGGCCUUCUGGCGGUUCCCUCAUUGUGAGAAGCCAAGUUACAGGGAACCAGGUGGAGGGCCUUCUCAGUGGUGGCACCCUCCCUGUGGAAAGCCCUCCCAUCAGGUGUCAAAGAAAUAAGCAGCUAUCCUAUUUUUAAAAGACAUCUGAAGGCAGCCCUGUUUAGGGAAGUAUUUAAUAUUUAAUGCUGUAUUUUUUUAAACACUUGGUUAGGAGUCACCCAGAUUGGCUGGGGAAACUCAGCCAGAUGGGUGGGGUAUAAAUAAUAAAUUAUUAUUAUUAUUAUUAUGGGAAAAUCAGUGGUUAAGGUCAAGCACACGGUGUGGAUUCAAGCAGCAAGGAGAUUGUUCAAAGCAGAGCUGACUUACUCGGACUCAGGGGAGAACUUUGUUAAUAUGGCACCCUGAGCAAGGACAAAACUUUCCCUUCCUCAGAUAUUUAUUAUAAUUUUCACAAUAAUUCAUUUUGGUCCAGUUGCUUUUUAUGGAUCUUUUCAGUAGUUACCUGUAUAGAUAUAGGUUAUCCUUAUUGUUGUAUAAAUAUAGGUGGUUGUUGUUGUUUUGUGCCCCCUCGAUUUGGUGCCUUGUGUGGGGAAGAACUGCUUACACUGCCCUAAAUCUGGACUGUCUUCAUCCCUGCGGCCAGUUUCAUAACAAGCUUGUUAGUCUUCGUUGUAAGGAAUAUUCCCUGGGCAAUUGCUAUGUAAACUGAUAGCAUCUGCUGCCUCAGUGGGUGAGGGAGAAUGAAAAGCACAUUCUCUUCUCCAUUUAGUCACUGUUCUCGUUCUGGUGUUUUUCAUUCGCCAGCGUUUAUGAAGCAUGUCGCCAUCCUAACGCUCGUCGCAAUAAAAGAUGCGCCUGAGCAUCCUAAUUGCAAGUGCUGCGUAAAAACUAAGCAGCGUUCGGGGCUUUUUGUUUUGGUUCUGUUUAGGGGGAAAGGUGCGCCUGGGCAGAACGUGACAGAGGAGUACAAAAUUAUUCAUGCCGUGGGAAAAGUGGAUAGGAAUAAUAGUAGAGCUCAGGGAGACCCAGCCGAGCUGGAUGUUGGAAAACGAAAAACAGGCAAAAGAAAGUACUCUCACCAGAGUGGUGCAUGCUCUGGUGAUCUCUCGCUUGGACUACUGCAAUGCGCUCUGUGUGGGGCUACCUUUGAAGGUGACCCGGAAACUGCAACUAAUCCAGAAUGCGGCAGCUAGACUGGUGACUGGGAGCGGCCGCCGAGACCACAUAACACCGGUCUUGAAAGACCUACACUGGCUCCCAGUAUGUUUCCAAGCAAAAUUCAAGGUGUUGGUGCUGACCUUUAAAGCCCUAAACGGCCUCGGUCCAGUAUAUCUGAAGGAGUGUCUCCACCCCCAUCAUUCUGCCCGGGCACUGAGGUCCAGCGCCGAGGGCCUUCUGGCGGUUCCCUCCAUGUGAGAAGCCAAGCUACAGGGAACCAGGCAAUGGGCCUUCUCAGUAGUGGCACCCGCCCUGUGGAACGCCCUCCCACUAGAUGUCAAAGAGAACAACAACUACCAGACUUUUAGAAGACAUCUGAAGGUAGCCCUCUUUAGGGAAGCUUUUAAUGUUUGAUGCAUUACGGUAUUUUAAUAUUUUUUUGGAAGGUGCCCAGAGUGGCUGGGGAAGCCCAGACAGAUGGGUGGAGUAUAAAUAAUGAAUUAUUAUUAUUAUUAUUAUUAUUAUUAUUAUUAUUCUGCUGGCAUCCGUCUGUCUUGAGUGUCGAUGGAGUUCUCCUCCAGGGCUGAAGUCAAACAGCUGUUUUAGCAGCACUGAAGUGACCUCCCCGGCAUGCAAGCCUAGACAGUGUACCUGGGGGUCCUGGGCUGGCCAGACAGCAAGACCCCCUCUUGACCUCGCUGAUGUGGUCCAAAGGAAAGCAGAACAAUAUUUUUGGCACCAGCUUGGCUGCAGGAGUUGCCGGAAGGAGGCAUACAAGGUGCGACCCAACCAUCUUACGGACUCCACUGCAGAUUUGUGUACGGUUUCCUCCUUGGCCCGCCCUUCUCCCAAAGAUAUCCCACAAGGCAGCGGAGGUUUAGGGUCAGGGUUUUCUUCUGCCAACCCUCGGUGUCAUUAUUUUCUUUUUUUUGGCUCCUGUCGUUGUUUAAAACCCAACCGGGACACAUUUGCCAAGCCCUGCAAAGCUGGAAGAGGUUUGUCAGUGAGAAUUUGCGAACAGCGGACAGGCAGGCAAUUGGAUUUCUCUUUUGCUUUCAACGCCUCUUUUGCGAAACCUGUUGGCUUCCCUCAGAAUUCCUACAGGCGCAUUCCUCCCAAAUUGGCUCCAGUUAUUCCUUCAGGCGAAAAGAUCCUAUUUUGAAUCAUUCUCCAUCUCUUUCUCCCCACCCCAAUAAAACAAAAAUCCCUCUGCCUUUAAUCCGUGGCUGGAGGAAAGACUAUAUACCAAGACGACUCAAGGGGAUGUAUGCGCGACGUUGUUUCAUUGGCACAAAAUACGACAGACUUAUUUCUUUUACCCUGAUAUUGGCUAUGGUUCUGAAACCCUACCAGGCCCAAGGCAGUUUACAAAGAAAAGAAAGAAAGAAAGAAAGAAAGAAAGAAAGAAAGAAAGAAAGAAAGAAAUGCAAAUUUUUUUUUAUUCCUUUUUUUCGUCCACAUAACUACGCAACUAACAAAAGAUCAUCACAACAUAUUGGUCGUCACAAGCUCCUGCAAGAAUGAAACUUUAACGGUAUUGACACAGUUCAGUAGAUCAUUCCACAAGCACAAUAGAGACUGCAGAGGUGAUCUUUCAUUGUCUUCUGUUUUUUACGUAGUCUAGAAAUGGUUGGCAACUGUUGUGAAAGGAAAAGUGAUUUGACUUCCCUUGAGCAGCUCUAAUCUGACUAGUUAAUUUUUCUGCUAAGGCAGUUUUAUUGUAUUUUUAAUAUUUUGUUGGAAGCCGCCCAGGGUGGUUGGAGAAACCCAGCCAGAUGGGUGAGGUAUUAAAAAUUAUUAUUAUUAUCCAAACUCUUAUGUCUUGUGUGUCCGAAGUAAGACCCUUGACCCUCCGCCAGGAUUGAGUGAUUUCCAUCCCAGCAGCUACAAAUGAAAACCUUAAUAGGUCUUUAUGUGUAAUCCAUCUUGGAGGUUUUUCUUCCCAUAACUCGAGCAAUGCCGGCACGGUAACAUUUGUCCUGAAAAUGAGGCUUAUUUCUCUGAAAACCAUAGUUGAAAUUUGACUACAACUCAAUCACAUACGAAAAUGAGACGUUUGAUCCACACAUACCCUCCAGCAGUUGAGAUCUACAUUAUUAUGCGACAAUCUUAAAGGCAUCCAUGAAGAAGUUUAAUUCUUUCUGGAGGUCCAUUUUUAACCUGAAACUGUUCUUAACCUGAAGCACCACUUUAGCUAAUGGGGCCUCCCGCUGCUGCCACGCAAUUUCUGUUCUCAUCCUGAAGCAAAGUUCUUAACCUGAGGUACUAUUUCUGAGUUAGCGGAGUCUGUAACCUGAAGCGUAUGUGACCCGAGGUACCACUGUACGUUUAAAGAAGAUUGGAAAAUGUUUAUUGAAUAUAUGGGGGAUAAUAGUGUACACUUGAAAACGUGGGCAGCCUUAAGAUAAAUUCAACAGUGUAAAUAAGUGUUGAUGGAUGUAAUAAUGGAAUACGGAAUGGCUUAGUUUAUAUAAAAUAUGCAGGGAUUUAUGCUGUGCAAAAUGAACCAUGGAAAGAGAAGAAGGGAAGUCAUUGAUAUUUUAAGGUUUUUUAUAUGAAUCCAGUGGUACCUUGGUUCUCAAACAACUUGGAACCCAAACACUGCAACCCCGGAAGUAAGUGUUACGGUUUGCAAACUUUUUUCAGGAGCCGAAUGUGCUCUUUUUUGAGUGUUACGCUGAGAUCUGUCUGUUUUUGCUAUUUAUUUUGCAUUUUUGUUUUUGCGGCUCUUGUUUUUGUGACUGUGUGGAACCCAGUUCAGCUUCUGAUGGAUUGAUUGUGUGACUGCAGUACAUUGUCUAUUGCUUUCAUUUCAUGGAUCGAUGGUCUCGUUAGAGAGUAAAAUUCAUGUUCAAUUGCUGUUCUAGGGGUUGUUUUUAAAAGUCUGGAACGGAUUAAUCCGUUUUGCAUGACUUUCUAUGGGAAAAUGCGCCUUGGUUUUGGAACGCUUUGGUUUUGGAACGGACUUCUGGAACAGAUUAAGUCUCAGAACCAAGGUGCCACUGUAUUCUAAACUGUAAAACAGAAAAUUUAAUAAUAAUUAUAUAAAAAAAUAAAGAAAUUAAACUGCAGCUCUUGGGCACGAUAUCACCCAGGACAUGAAUGCAGUCUCCUCUGAUAUCCGAACUUUCCGCUAUCCAGCUCCCCUUGUUGGUGGGAAAUCUUAAAUGCGAGGAAAGGAAUGAGCUUUUUCUUUCGGCUUUCCCUUGGGGAAUGAGGCACCUUGUGUCGCAAUGCUUUGGCGCCUAAUGGAGUUGUUUUCGUCUAAGAAGGCUUUCCCCGAGGUCCUCGUCCUCGGUGUAACAUUAAUUGCACAUUUGUAGGAACAGUUUUAUUUAUUUUUAGAACUUUUGGGGAGGCAGUUUAAUAUCUCAUUUUUUAUUGCCGUACACAGCUUUGAGGACUUCAAGGCUGCGAAGCGGUUUAUAAAUGUGUAGUAUAAGUAAGACAAAUAAAUAAAUUUCCAAAGUGGCGCUUGGGAAGCAGGAUGCUUUUGCCCAGGUUCAUCAAUGCAUAGCUGUCAACUUACAGUUUGAAAAUAAGGGACCAGCAGCCUCAAAAAUAAGGGACCAGCAGCCAAAAUAAGGGAUUUUAGUCAACCAGCUGAAAUACAAAGUUAAAAGGGACCAGAUAAUUUGGGAGAGCAGUGCCGGUUUUUAGCCCUUCGUUUCCAGAGGUUGCUGCUCAAAACACCAGCUGAUGAAACACUGCAAUUAAAUAACUACAAGCAGCAACCACUUUUUGCACAAAACAAAGCCCAAGCUACGAAGAUGCUGCUGCAGUUCUGUAUCUUUUCUCUCGUGCUCCAUCUGCAGCUCUCAGUUCCAUCAGGCGGGGCGGGAGGAGGGGGGGGGAAAUAGCGCCCAAAGUAAACCCGCAGAUCAGACCCUCUAUGCUAGUUUACCACUACAAAUCUAUGGGAGAAGCGCAUGCGGUCCUUCCUCCGCUUUCCCCCUCAAUGGUUAGCCCUUGGAACACCUGCCCACGCCUCCUCUCUCUGAACUGCUUUCUCUAUGGUUGCCCUCGGUCUCCUCUCAAGGCUCCUCAGUCCCAGCGGGGAGGGGAUCCCGGGGGCCGAGGCUGGUGAGAGGAGGCCGGAGGGGGCCGGGCCGGGCAGCCAAGCAACACAGUUGGAGCCUCCCUCCUCCCUGGCCGGCAGGGAGGGAGGGAGAGGAGCUGCUUCCUUUGAAACCCGGGAAAUUUAAGGGACAUCAUAAAUAACGGACAGCAGCGGAACACGGCGCUGGGAUAAGGGAGUUUCCCACCAAAUAGGUGACGGCUGACAGCUAUGCAUCAAUGGUUCAUCAGGUUUCAGCAACAGAUACUUGGGUUCCGUACAAAGUAGGGGAAGGAAAACCCCCAAACCCUCAAAGAAACAGUAAUUUUUUUGUUAAGAAAUGUAAAAGGGAUUAGGGCAAAAUUAAUACCAAUACCACAUAACAAUUAUAUUAAAGUUGCUUAAGAAUUUCCAUUUGUUGGAAUACAGACUUUGCAAUACAGACUUUUGAGGUGUUUUAAUUAGACCCUUAGAUUAGUCAGCUAGCUGGAUUUAUUGGAUCAGAAACCUGCAAAUAAACUGACAAGGUGUAUCUAUUUAAUUGGGCCAUGUGUGUUUUUAAAACCGAAAGACAUUUUUAAUAUCAGUACUUAGAAACGCCGCAGAUGUCUGGCACCAUCUAAGAAAAGUCAUUUUGCUUCUCUCUCGCAAAGCAGAGUUUUAAAGGAAGCAGAACUGCUUGCCCAACCCAUAGUAGUUUUUUUUUUGUUUUUUUAAUGACCAACCAAUUUAAUGGAUAUAUUAAAUUCGUGUCUGAACCAAUUAAGACCAAAGCCAUUAAUUGGCAAGAUGCAUUAAUUGGCACAUGCAUUAACUGUUCUAACAAAUUAAUCACAAAUGUGCAGAGUCCCCUUCACUCACCCAAUGAAACUGUCACUGAGAAUGCCUGUUUAGACAUCUUCCAGUCUCUCUCUCUCUCUCUCUCUCUCUCUCUCUCUCUCUCUCUCUCUCGAUGGCACGCAGUGUGUUUAAAAUGACUCUUAUUAUUUUGUGGUGAUGUUCUUUUGCUGACUCCCCCCUCCUCCAUAUUUUCUGGGCAUGCACGGUUACAAAUCAGUUUUGGGGAAAAGGUACUGUUUUUGGGGGACAGGGGGCGGGUGGGUGUGGAGGACUCCCUGGUCCUGAAUGGGGCAACUGUGUCCCUGAAGGACCAGGUGAGCAGCCUGGGAGUCAUUCUGGACUCACAGCUGUCCAUGGAGGUGCAGGUCAAUUCUGUAUCCAGGGCAGAUGUCUACCAACUCCAUCUGAUACGCAGGAUGAGACCCUACCUGCCCGCGGACUGUCUCACCAGAGUAGUGCAUGCUCUGGUUAUCUCUCGCUUGGACUACUGCAAUGUGCUCUACGUGGGGCUACCUUUGAAGGUGACCCGGAAACUACAACUAAUCCAGAAUGCAGCAGCUAGAUUGGUGACUGGGAACGGCUGCCGAGACCAUAUAACACUGGUCUUGAAAGACCUAAAUUGGCUCCCAGUACGUUUCAAAGCACAAUUCAGAGUGUUGGUGCUGACCUUGAAAGCCCAAAACAGCCUCAGCCCAGUAUAACUGAAGGAGCGUCUCCACCCCCAUUGCUCAGCCCGGACACUGAGGUCCAGCGCUGAGGGCAUAGCUGCCAACUUUUCCCUUUUCUUGUGAGGAAUCCUAUUCGGAACAAGGGAAUUUCCCUUAAAAAAAUGGAAACGUUGACAGCUAUGGCUGAGGGCCUUCUGGCGGUUCCCUCGCUGUGAGAAAUGAGGUUACAGGGAACCAGGCAGAGGGCCUUCUUGGUAGUGGCGCCUGCCCUGUGGAACAUCCUCCCAUCAGAUGUCAAGGAAAUAAACAACUACCUGAAUUUUGGAAGACAUCUGAAGGCAGGCAGCCCUAGAAUCAUAGAAUCAUAGAGUUGGAAGAGACCACAAGGGCCAUCGAGUCCAACCCCCUGCCAAGCAGGAAACACCAUCAGAGCAAUCCUGACAUAUGGUUGUCAAGCCUCUGCUUAAAGACCUCCAAAGAAGGAGACUCCACCACACUCCUUGGCAGCAAAUUCCACUGUCAAACAGCUCUUACUGUCAGGAAGUUCUUCCUAAUGUUUAGGUGGAAUCUUCUUUCUUGUAGUUUGGAUCCAUUGCUCCGUGUCCGCUUCUCUGGAGCAGCAGAAAACAACCUUUCUCCCUCCUCUAUGUGACAUCCUUUGAUAUAUUUGAACAUGGCUAUCAUAUCACCCCUUAACCUCCUCUUCUCCAGGCUAAACAUGCCCAGCUCCCUUAGCCGUUCCUCCUAAGGCAUCGUUUCCAGGCCUUUGACCAUUUUGGUUGCCCUCCUCUGGACACGUUCCAGUUUGUCAGUGUCCUUCUUGAAUUGUGGUGCCCAGAACUGGACACAGUACUCCAGGUGAGGUCUGACCAGAGCAGAAUACAGUGGCACUAUUACUUCCCUUGAUCUAGAUGCUAUACUCCUAUUGAUGCAGCCCAGAAUUGCAUUGGCUUUUUUAGCUGCCGCGUCACACUGUUGGCUCAUGUCAAGUUUGUGGUCAACCAAGACUCCUAGAUCCUUUUCACAUGUACUGCUCUCAAGCCAGGUGUCACCUAUCUUGUAUUUGUGCCUUUCAUUUUUUUUGCCCAAGUGCAAUACUUUACAUUUCUCCCUGUUAAAAUUCAUCUUGUUUGUUUUGGCCCAGUUCUCUAAUCGGUCAAGGUCAUUUUGAAGUGUGAUCCUGUCCUCUGGGCUGUUAGCCACCCCUGCCAGUUUGGUGUCAUCUGCAAAUUUGAUCAGGAUGCCCUUGAGUCCAUCAUCCAAGUCGUUGAUAAAGAUGUUGAAUAAGACCGGGCCCAAGACAGAACCCUGUGGCACCCCACUAGUCACUAUUCUCCAGGAUGAAGAGGAACCAUUGAUGAGCACCCUUUGGGUUCGGUCAGUCAGCCAGUUACAAAUCCACUGAGUGGUAGCAUAGUCAAGACCGCAUUUUACCAGCUUCUUUACAAGAAUAUCAUGGGGCACCUUGUCAAAUGCCUUGCUGAAAUCAAGGUAGGCUACAUCCACUGCGUUCCCUUCAUCUACCAGGCUUGUAAUUCUGUCAAAAACGAGAUCAGGUUAGUCUGACAUGACUUAUUUUUCAGAAAUCCAUGCUGACUAUUGGUGAUCACAGCAUUCCUUUCUAGGUGCUCACAGACUGUUUGCUUAAUGAUCUGCUCCAGAAUCUUCCCUGGUAUUGAUUUCAGACUGACUGGGUGGUAAUUAUUUGGGUCCUCUCUUUUCCCCUUUUUGAAAAUAGGGACAACAUUUGCCCUCCUCCAGUCUGCCGGGACUUCGCCUGUUCUCCAGGAAUUCUCAAAGAUGACUGCCAGUGGUUCUGAGAUCACAUCUGCCAGUUCUUUUAAUACUCUUGGAUGCAGUUCAUCUGGCCCUGGAGACUUGAAUACAUCUAAACUAGCCAAGUAUUCUUGUACUAUCUCCUUAGUUACUCUGGGCUGUGUUUCCUUUGCUGAAUCAUUUGCUCCAAAUUCUUCAGGUCGGGCAUUGUUUUCUUUAUCGGAGAAGACUGAGGCAAGGAAGGCAUUGAGGAGUUCAGCUCUUUCUGUGUCCCCUGUUUGCAUUUCACCAUCUUCUCCUCUGAGUGACCCCACUGUUUCUUUGUUCUUCCUUUUGCUACGAACAUACCCAUAAAAGCCUUUUUGUUGCUUUUAACCUCUCUAGCAAGCCUGAGUUCAUUCUGUGCUUUAGCUUUUCUGACUUUGUGUCUACACGUGCUGGCUAUUUGUUUGAAUUCCUCUUUGGUGGUUUCCCCCUUUUCCAUUUUUGUACACAUCCUUUUUAAAUCUUAACUCAGUUAAAAGUUCUUUAGAUAGCCACCCUGGCUUCUUUAGGCACCUUCCAUGUUUCCGUCUCAUUGGUAUUGCCUGACGUUGUGCUUUUACUAUCUCCUUCUUAACAAACUCCGAGCCAUCAUGAACUCCCUUUCCUUUUAGUAUUACUGUCCAUGGGAUCUCACCCAGCACUUCCCUAAGUUUUAUGAAGUCGGCUUUCUUAAAGUCAAGAAAUUGAGUCCUAGUAUGCUUGGCUGCUCCUUUCCGCUGUAUAGUAAACUUCAGAAGAGCAUGAUCACUCACGCCUAAUGAUCCUUCCACUUCUACCCCACUAACCAGGUCAUCAACAUUGGUUAGGACCAGCUCUAAAAUGGCUGUUCCUCUUGUUGCUUCUCCCACUUUCUGGACAAUGAAGUUGUCUGCAAGGCCAGUGAGGAAUCUGUUUGACCUUAUGCUCUUGGCUGAGUUUGACAUCCAACAAAUAUCCGGGUAAUUGAAGUCCCCCAUUACUACUAUCUCCCUUCCUUUUGCAUACUUGGCCAUCUGUUCCAGGAAGGCAUCAUCUAUGUCCUCCAUUUGGCUUGGGAAUCUAUAGUAAACUCCCACAAUGAGGUCACUGUUAUUCUUCUCUCCCUUAAUUUUGACCCAAAUGCUCUCACUUUGGCUUUGAGGUUCUAAAUCUUGGAUCUCUUCACAGGUAUACACAUCCCUGACAUAUAACGCCACUCCUCCUCCUUUCUUGUCUGGUCUGUUUCUCUGAAAUAGAUUAUAUCCCUCCAUUAUUACAUUCUAAUCGUGGGACUUAUCCCACCAGGUUUCAGUGAUGCCUAUUAUGUCAUAUUUAGUUUGCUGUACCAAGAGCUCAAGCUCAUCUUGUUUAUUUCCCAUGCUUUGUGCAUUAGUGUACAGACAUUGAAGUCCAUUAAUCAUUUCCCCGUGUCUCUUAUUUAAGGAUUUUUUCCUCCCACCACUAGGUCUGCGUGCUGUUUGCUCCAUUUGGUCUAUGACAUUUGGAUGAUCAUCUUCAUCAAUUGAUAGACUCCUACCUUCAGGAGCACUGUCUCCCUCCCCACAUUAGUCAGUUUAAAGCCCUCCUGAUGAGGUUUCUGAGAUUUUUGGCAAAAACAUUUCUCCCAACCGUUGUGAGGUGCAGCCCAUCGCUUGCCAGAAGUCCAUCUUCAAGAAACUGCAGUCCGUGAUCUAAGAAUCCAAACCGUUCCUGUUUACACCAUUUGCGAAGCCAGCUGUUCACUUCCACUAUUUUUCCCUCUCUCCCUGGGCCACGUCGUUCAACUGGGAGGACAGAUGAGAUGACAAUUUGUGCAUUUAAUUGCUUCAAUUUCCUGCCGAGAGCCUCGUAGUCUCUUUUGAUCUUCUGGAGGCUAUUGCUUGCAGUGUCAUUGGUUCCCACAUGAACCAAGAGGAAGGGGUAUUUGUCAGUGGGUUUUAUGAUUCCUUGCAGUCGUUCAGUUACAUCUUGGAUCUUAGCCCCGGGAGACAGCACACUUCCCGAGACAUCUUGUCAGGCCCACAGAUCACUGCUUCUGUUCCCCUCAGUAGGGAAUCCCCUAUCACCACUACACGCCUCCUCUUAGGUUUGGUCGGGGUUCUUCCGUGAGCUGUCCGUUCCAAGGUCGCCUGCACAUUCCCUGAGGACUGACUUUGCUGCUCGUCUUCAUAUACCUGAUCGACUGUAAUGAGGAGAGAUCCUCAAAUGGAGUCUGCUCUUUGUCUUCCAUGCUAGGGGAGAGGACCUCAAAGCGAUUGUGUAUUUCUAAACAAUCAGAGCGAACCCUGGGCCUCCUACUUCUUUGAGUCACGUUUCUCCAUAUAUCUGGCUCCUGUGUUGGUGAACUAGCCGCCUUCUCAGGGGAGUCCCCUGUCUCCUCCUUGGUGGAGACGGUGUGCUCUGUUGCUUCCAAGAAGAGCUCCAGCUCUCUAAUUCUUUGGAGCGUAGCUACACGUUCCUCCAGUUGGUGGACUUUGUCUUUUAAGAGGGCAAUCAACAUGCAAUUGCUGCAGGUAAAGCUGCCUGCAACCUUUGGCAAGAUGGCAAACAUUGCGCAGGAACCGCAGGCGACUGCAGCUGUUCCCUCCCCUCCAUCUUGAGAACGUGUCGUUGGGGGUGGCUACAGCGGUCCUCCAUCAUAAAAAGCGUGAAGACAGGACAAAUAACUCCCCCCACAAAAAAACCUAGGUCUCCCCCAACAAACGUUUGAGAGUAGCUCCCCUAAAUCUAAAAGAUGGAUCAAACAGAAACCCUGCCCCCUCUGACCUUUGCACAGGGAGAGCAGCUAAUCAGCCACAAAGAAACACACACGCACAAGAAAACCCUUUUUGCUCCUUUUUCAACUGCUGCCCUGCAAGCUCUGAUAAGCUCCUCCCACAGCUAAUCACCUGCCUCAACAGAAACCCUGCCCCCUCUGACCCUGUUUAGGGAAGUUUUUAAUGUUUAAUGCUGUAUUGUGUUUUUAAUAUUCUGUUGGGCUUAGGAAACUCAGCCAGAUGGGUGGGGUCGUUUAGGGCUUUAAAGGUCAGUAGUUUGUGUGAAAGGGAUCUAGGGGUCUUGCUGGACCACAAGUUGAACACGAGUCAACAGGGUGAUGCAGCAGCAAAAAAAGCAGAUGCGAUUCUAGGCUGCAUCAACAGAAGUCUAGUGUCCAGAUCAAGGGAAAUCAUAGUACUGCUCUAUUCUGCCUUGGUUAGACCACACUUGGAAUACUGUGUCCAAUUCUGGGCACCACAAUUUAUGAAGGAUGCUGACAAGCUGGAAUGUGUGCAGUGGAAGGUGACCAAGAUGAUCAAGGGUCUGGAAAUACAGGCUUAUGAGGAACAGUUGAAGUGCUGGGUAUGUUUAGCCUGGAAAAAUGGAGACUGAGAGGAGAUAUGUGAGCCAUCAUCUAAUAUCUUAAGGGCUGUCACCAGGAAGAGAGAACAAGCUUGUUUUCUCCUGCUCUGGAGGGUAGGACUCGAACCAAUGGCUUCAUGUUGCAAGAAAGGAGAUUCCAACUAAACAUCAGGAAAAACUUAUGACAGUAAGAGCCGUUUGACAGCGGAACCGUCUCAAAUGAAACGUGGUGGACUUUUCUUCCUUGGAGGUUUUUAAGCAGAGGUUGGAUGGCCAUCAGUCAUGGAUGCUGUAGCUGAGAUUCCUGCGUUGCGGGGGGUUGGACUAGAUGACCCCUGGGGUCCCAACUCUACAAUUCUACGAUUCCAUNNNNNNNNNNNNNNNNNNNNNNNNNNNNNNNNNNNNNNNNNNNNNNNNNNNNNNNNNNNNNNNNNNNNNNNNNNNNNNNNNNNNNNNNNNNNNNNNNNNNGAGAGCUAUAUGUUUUCAUUGCAAACUGGUGAGGAAAUGUGAAGACCUGAAAUUAAGAAGAGAAAGAUGAGGAACUGAGACGGACCAGAACGGACGUAUUAUUUGCCCACCCCCGACUACAGCUCCCAUCAGCACCAGCCAAUCUGGCCAACGGUGAGGGAUGAUGGUUUGUUGUGGUUCUGCAACGUUUGGAGAGACGCAGAUUCCCUGCUCCUGACAUAGGCUAAUUCAGUUUUAACUGUUUCCAAGUUGGAAUUUUAAAUUAAUGUAACCCACCCUGGAGCCUGCUGGUGAAGGGCUAGUAAAUAAUAAUAAUAAUAAUAAUAAUAAUAAUAAUCGUUCCCAGAGAGGACAUUGGACCCAUCCUUCUUUAAGGGCCAGUUUCAUUUUAAAAACCAAGCCGACAGAAGUUAAAGUCCAAUGUAAGUAAUCAGGAAAAAGAAAAAUGAGCUUUUCAGUUGACCCAGACACAUUUCUAACACACACGGCUAAGAUUUCCUAUAACAAAAUAUGUGUGUGCAUUUGUCUCUCUUACAGUUCUCAAGAACUAGUGUGGCUUGAUAUCUUGGCUGCCGUGGGUAGUUUCUGGCGAGGAACAUCCUGCAUGCCAGUGAAAACUGACUUGGCAACACUAAUACAAAACAAAAAGUGCAGCAGCCAGAAAAAGGAAUGCAUUCCUUACCCAGAUUAAAAUUCCAAGUAAUUCCUGGGUUUCCUGGUUGCGUUGGGCAAGGUGUGCUUACAGCCUCCUUCUGGAAACACCCAAAGCUCACAAUGCUCUUUGCUAACAGAACUGUUCUUAGGAGGAAGAAAAAAUAAUAUUUAUUGGAAGCAAUCCAGCAAGUUAGAAAGUGGCUGCAGUUGUGGCAUGCUGGGAGACAGAGGACAGAAGUAAAGACUGUGUGGCAUUAUUAUUUUGAGUUGAGGGAGGGGGUGCAGAGAAUAACUGUCAUAAAGGUAAAGGGACCCCUGACCAUUAGGUCCAGUCGUGACCGACUCUGGGGUUGCGGCGCUCAUCUCGCUUUAUUGGCCGAGGAAGCCAGUGUACAGCUUCCGGGUCAUGUGGCCAGCAUGACUAAGCCACUUCUAGCGAACAAGAGCAGCACACGGAAAUGCCGUUUACCUUCCCACCGGAGUGGUACCUAUUUAUCUACUUGCACUUUGACGUGCUUUUGAACUGCUAGGUUGGCAGGAGCAGGGACCGAGCAACGGGAGCUCACCCCGUCACGGGGAUUUGAACCGCCAACCUUCUGAUUGGCAAGUCCUAGGCUCUGUGGUUUAACCCACAGCGCCACCCGCAUCCCUGUAGAUUAGGUAGGUUUGCCUUUAAAUGCAAAUGGAAUUGAAUUUCAACCCCCCCUUGCUUCUAAUCCCACAAUUGUCAGAAGUUGGCUAAUGCUGAUGUUAGUUGGACCUCAGCUAUGCACCCCCUAGCUUAUGCAAACCAAAACUGGGCCUUUCUAGAAAGUUCUGGCUCCCUUCUGCCCAUGAGCAGUCGUGUUCCGUUCUUGGGGCUGGGAUUGAGGAGGAAUCUGCUCUUUCAGACACAUUUCCAUUCUUUCUGCAAAGAACAUGCAAAGAGAAGAACAUCACUUUCUCUUUCUGUCUGUCUCUCCGAGUUUGGGUGCAAUUUUGGGUUUUCGUUGAAUCAAGUGUCCCCAAGUGUCCAGCACCCUGCAAUGCAGAGAUCGCCAUCAUUUCUCGACAACUGGGAUAGCUCUGUUGGUAGUGCAGGACACUCUUGUCAUCAGGGUUGCGGGUUUGAGCCCCACUGUGCUGGGCGUGGGGGUAACCUGUGAAACGCGGUCCAGGACCGGUCCAGAAUCCGAAGGUUCUGCUGGGAGUCAGUCUGACAGGGCCAAGGCAGGAAACCAGGCAAGGACAGGUACAGGAUCCGGCAUACAGCAAUGUUGCUCCCGCAACCUGGGGUGGGGUCCGACAGCCUUUUAUCUUUGUCGGGGUAAUGGCCGGUCCUGAUCCCCCGGCGACUCACCUCCCUGUUUUGCCUGAAGACGAGCACUCCUCCUGCAAGUACUCAGGUCUCUCCUUCUCUCAGACCUGAGUCUCUGCAGCUCAGGAGACGUCGGUGGGCUAUCAGACCCAGAGGCCGCCUCAGCCUCCCCUUACCCAACCGGUAGUGGAGCAGCUGUAAGUGAUGGCCCAGCUGAAGGCAACGAGGUAAUCCCCGCAUCUGGAGCCAGGGCAGGCUCAGGCCCCUGACUCGGCCCAGCUGGUGCUUGUUGCAGGGGAACCUGUGCAGACUGGGACUCUUCAGGAUCAGGCCCCAGACUUGGUUCAGAUGAAGCCUGAGGCAAAGGAUCUGGUGCAGACUGAGACUCCUCUGGCUCCGAGUCCGAGUCCCAGGCCAUCACACCCACAGUGGGCAAAAAUAUUCUUGGGCUAGAUCAUCCUUGGGGUCCCUUCGAACUCUACAGUUCUGCGAUUCUGAUCUCUGUCAUUUCCCACAGACGCAGGGAAAUGCAGGAAGCAGGCAAGGCUGGACAAAUGUUUCUGGACCACGGACAGCUCCGAAUGAGCAAAGAGCUCUGAUAAAAGUUGGGAGUUGACUGAGACAGAGGCAUAACGCUCCAGAGACCGCCUCUUCCAGGCUGCAACUCCUUGUUAGAGAGCUUCAGACUCUGAAAAGGUCUAGUCUCUGAACUGAAGACUCUUUCUUCGUUCUAUAGCCUCCCUGCUUGCACAGGGCAGACACCAGGAAAUCUAGGGGCGGGGGGAAUCUAGAUCUGACCGAUGGAUGGCAUGAUCAGAGUAUCCUUGGAUUAUAUUUGGCCAAGAAUCCUGCUCUCCCCGAAAUGGAAAGAAGCAGAAGUCCCAGCAAAGGAAGAAUGGAUGCAAAAACUUACGGGAUACGCAGAAAUGGCAAAACUCACCGGAAGAUAAGAAAGCAAGUUAACAAACUUAAAAAAAACCAAAAAACGGAAUGGAAAUGGUUUAUCAAAUACUUACAGAUGAAUUGCAAACAGGUAAAAACAUUGGGAGGAUUAUCGUAAUAACCCACGGUUUCGUAAGAGUUUAUAUUUAGGUAAUUAAAUGAGCAAAUUAAAUGAAUUUGGAUAUGCAGAAGAUUUUAAAAAACAAGGAACUGCAGAAAAAGGGGGAAGGAAGUCAAACUUUGAAACGUUAAAAUAAUUGUGAAAUUAAUGAUAGGUAUAAAUUUGGAAAGUGUAAUAAAAACUAAAAAAUAUAUAUCUUUGCCCAUAUUUCAUAGAAGGGACCCCGAGAGUCAUCUAGUCCACCCCCUUGCAAUGCAAGAAUAUCAGCAAAAGCAUCCAACCUCUGCUUAAAAUACCAAGAUCUCAUUAAAUCUACACAUCAUUCCCUUGGAGUUCAUAAAGAUGACAAGUAGGAAGAGAACAGGGCUUUGAUGGAUUUGCGUCUCCUACUUUUCUGGCUGUUAACUAAAGGAUGAGAGACUGCGGCUGUUAUUUGCGCGACUACAGAGAAGGAGAAUGUAGACAUUAAUGAGCAAUAUAACUAGUGAUAAACACCUCUGGGAAGAGAGAAAUGCCUCAUUAAGGACUUCUUUUUUUGGCGGGGGGGGUUUGCAAAUGGGCUUUAUUGGUACAUUGGUACAUUGGCCUAACAAAAUUAAUACUUGUGGAUAUUUCGGCAUACUAGGGCAAAUAAAUAAAUGAAUCACAAAAUGGUGGGCAAGCUUUUGAAGAAGCCACCCUCCUAGCGGCACAGCAUUAAAACUGCAGGCACAUUUUCAAAGCUAAGCAGGGUCCGUGUCAGGAGUGCGUGCAGGAGCCAGGCCCUGUGACCAGUAGGCCUUCGCAGGACAGGGGCCUUCCUAAGUUUGUUCUGGAGAGGCAAGGCGUGGUCGCACAGGUGAAGCCGAUUAGUAACUCACUGCACCUGGUGGCAAGAGCUGGGAAGGGAUAUAAGGUCAGCAUUUCCCUUCGGCUCUUUAUCACAGCAACACGUUUCCUGCCUUGCUGUGUUUGGCUUCUUGUUUCUCGGCCCUCGGACCCUUGACUUUGUGACUCCUUGCUUCUAACCCUCAGACCUCGACUUCUUGACUCCUUGCUUCUCAACCCUCGGACCCUUGACUCCGUGACUCCUUGCGUCUCGACCCUCGGACCCUUGACUUUGUGACUCCUUGCUUCUCGACCCUCGGACUGUUGACUUCGUGACUCCUUGCUUCUCGACCCUCAGACCUCGACUUCUUGACUCCUUGCUUCUUGACCCUUGGAUCCUUGACUUUGUGACUCCUUGCUUCUCGACCCUCGGACCCUUGACUUUGUGACUCUCUGCUUCCUGACCCUCAGACCCCUGGCUUCUGGACUCUCAUUCCUGCUCCCACCCUGCCAUCUUGCUCCCGGUCCCGACGACGUCCUCAGCUGGGACUUCGAUCGCCCGUAGACCAGACCGUGACAGUCCGGUCCGGUUUCAGAUUGGAUGGGGGACCACGCGUUGAGAUUCCUGCAUGGCGGGGGGUUGGACUGGAUGACCCUCAGGGUCCCUUCCAGUUCUGUGAUGCUAUGCCAGGGGUGGGUGAGGUCAGAGACAAAAGGGGGUGGAUCAAGGAAUGCAAUACUUACCUUUGUACAAGAGGAGGCUGGUUUUGACUAACACAGCCCUCUCCAUUCUAUGCCCAGGCCAGCAAGAGACAUUAUCUGUUUGACACAACAACAUUCAGGGGGACUGUAUAAAAAAAAAAAAAAGCCAGCGAAGGGUGUGUCUGGGAAGGGGGGGCAGCCUGGGGGUGGUCCCAGGGCCAGAGAGAAAGAGAGAGAGACAGGUUUGGGGGUCCACAUUUGCCCUCCAGGCCGGAGGACCAAGUACGUUCUAGGCUUGGAUAUCUUUCAGAGUCAUCUAAGGUUCUACAGCCUUGGGAGUUUUAAAAAUGUUCUUGUCAACAUCGUGACAACAAAUACAGCAGGCUUAGGAGAGAAAAAACAAAAAACCCCAGGAAUUCACAAUCUGCUUUGGAGAGGCAAUGUGUGCUUUGGAGAGACAGUGUGCAAUAAAUGCAUACUGUCUCGCGCUUCCACUUAAUAAAUCACUAUUCACUUCGUUGUCCUUGUGUGCUGGAUUUUGUGAGCAGCGUCGAAGUGUAUAAUUGUUAUCGCCUAGCAACUUCAAUCCCACCCUCGAGCUACUGCCCCAUUCAGCGAAGGGCUCUUUAUUUUAAUUGUAAUUCGCAUCAAUUUGUUUCAUGUUAAGGCAGGUCAGUGAUUUCUGCCCCCCCCCUGCUGCCGAAAUAGCUUGGUGCCGUUUAAUCUUCAGAUGUUAAAUUGAUUUCACCUCUGUAACGCAGGAAUCUUCUGCCCAACAUGGGAUUCGAACCCACAAUCCUGAGAUGAAGAAGUUUCAUUCUCUACCUUGAAAUGCAAACAUUUUAUUUACUACUUUGCUGAAUUUGUAUACGACGCUUCAUCUGAAGAUCAGAUAAAAAGUGCAAAACAAAAACACAAAAAUACAGAAUGAAAUGAAAGCAAAACAAACCAUUAACACGCACACCCCGGCACAUUUAAAAAGCCAUAGACACCGAACGGCUGGUUGAAGAGAAAUGCUUUUGCCUGGCGCCUAAAAAUAUGCAAUUAAAAAUGGCGUCUUCCUUUAGGCUAUUUUUGUUGGGAUCAUGGCAAGGAGGGAGAGAUUUUUUAAAUUUCAUUUUAAAUACUCGCUGCCUGUUGUGGUGCCAAGAUUGUUCAGGGCUCUUGGGUACCAGUUACAUUAAAUGAGGAAUGUGCGCAUUAAUUCCAUUCGAGCAACUAGCCUCAAAUCUACUUUGACCCCUAAACAUGUGGGGUUAUUUCCUCCCGCCGCUCCCCAGACAUCAGUAGGGCACUGGCUUCCUUGCCCAAGUCUUCAGGAUGGGGCGAGGCACAAGGAAGACUAAAUAGCGUCGGCGCAUAGUAACAACUUUCAGGUUUGCUAAUGACUGUUGCAAGAACUCGUCGCAUAAGCACCUGACGAUACUAUUCAAAAGACGCCCAUUUUAAUAAAUGGGGGCAGCGAGUUUGUCAUUGCAGUCCAGGGCGUUCUCUUCUGCUGCAAGUCAGACACACCUUGUUUCGAUGAUCACUGAGCACAGUUGUGCCAAGGUCUUGCACAGCUGCCUUCAGGUAUCAUGUUUCGAAGUGUGUUCUAGUGCAUGUGCGUUUGAUGGUUAUCGUGAUGCGCUGGGUGUCUUUGAGGACCCGCUGCAAGAGCUGUAGCUGUGAAAGGAUGCUGACAAGCUGGAAGGUGUGCAGAGGAGGGCAACCAAGAUGAUUAAGGGUCUGGGAACCAAGCCUGAUGAGGAACGGUUGAAGGAGCUGGGUUUGUUUAGCUUGAAAAAGUGGAGACUGAGAACCAUGUUCAAGUAUCUCAGGGGCUGUCACAUGGAAGAGGGAACAAGCUUUUUUUACUCCCGAUCUGGGGGGGGUAGUACUCAAACCAAUAGCUUAAAGGUACAAGGAAGGGAUGUGGGUGGCGCUGUGGGUUAAACCAUAGAGCCUAGGACUUGCUGAUCAGAAGGUCAGCGGUUUGAAUCCCCGCGACGGGGUGAGCUCCCGUUGCUCGGUCCCAACUCCUGCCAACCUAGCAGUUCGAAAGCAUGUCAAAGUGCAAGUAGAUAAAUAGGUACUGCUCCGGCGGGAAGAUAAACGGCAUUUCUGUGCACUGCUCUGGUUCGCCAGAAGCGCUUUGGUCAUGCUGGCCACAUGACCCGGAAGCUGUAUGCCGGCGCCCUUGGCCAAUAAAGCGAGAUGAGUGCCGCAACCCCAGAAUCGGUCAUGACUGGACCUAAUGGUCAGGGGUCCCUUUACCUUUACCUUACAAGGAAGGACUAAACAGCUCAGGACCGCAAUACCUCAAGGACCGCCUCUUUCCAUAUGAACCUACCCAGACCCUGAGAUACCUUCUGAGGCCCUUUUUUGAGUGCCUCCUCCUCAAGAGGUCAGGAGGGUGGCAAGACGAGAACAGGGCCUUCUCUGCAGUGGCUCCCCGUCUGUGGAAUGCUCUCCCUAGGGAAGUUCGCCUGGCGCCUUCAUUAUAUACCUUUAGGCGCCAGGCAAAAACGUUCCUUUUUAACCAGGCCUUUGGUUGAUCAGUUUGACAUCUGAUGCCCUUUUAAAAUGUGGCUCUUUUCUGGGCUGUGUGUGUUAUUAGGUUGUUGUUUUUAUUCUGUUUAUAUAUGUUGUCAUCUUUUCUGUGAACUGCCCUGAGACCUCAGGGUAUGGGGCGGUAUAUAAACUCAAUAAAUAAUAAUAAUAAACGUCAGGAAGAACUUUCUGACGGUAGGAGCUGUUGGAUAGUGGAACAGACUCCCUUGGGAAAUGGUGGACUCUUCUUCGUUGGAGGUUUCUAAGCAGAGGUUGGCUGGCCAUCUCUCAUGGCUGAUCUAGCUGAGAUUCCUGCAUCGCAAGGGGUUGGACUAGAGGACGCUUGGAGUCCUUUUUCCUUUAGUAAAUCCUUAUAUAUAGCCCAAUUUUGUUCCAUGUUUUUCUUUUUUAUCAUUAUCGCUUCUAAAGGUGAAAUCCACCAGCGUGUCUUAAGGUAAAGGGACCCCUGACCAUUAGGUCCAGUCGUGGCCGACUCUGGGGUUGCGGCUCUCAUCUCUCUUUACUGGCCGAGGGAGCCGGCGUACAGCUUCCGGGUCAUGUGGCUAGCAUGACUAAGCCACUUCUGGCGAACCAGAGCAGCACAUGGAAACGCCAUUUACCUUCCCGCCGUAGCAGUACCUAUUUAUCUACUUGCACUUUGAUGUGCUUUCGAACUGCUAGGUUGGCAGGAGCAGGGACCGAGCAACGGGAGCUCACCCCGUCGUGGGGAUUCGAACCGCUGACCUUCUGAUUGGCAAGUCCUAGGCUCUGUGGUUUAACCCACAGCGCCACCCGCAUCCCUCUAGGGUGUCUUAGGUUCCAGUAAUUCCUUGUAUUUUACCCAUACUCUAUAUAUUGGUUUCCUUAUGAUGUGAUUAAGAAAUCCCCUGUGGACUUUCACCUUUUCAUAUCCUAAAUAAGCAUGCCACCCAUAACGGUUGUUAAACCCUUCCAAAUUCAAUAGGUCUCCAUCUUGUAAUGUUAUCCACUCUUUCAACCAAUCUAAGCAGACUGAGUCAUAGUACAAAUUUAGGUCAGGUUGGAGUCCUUUCCAGCUCUACGAGACUAUGAUUCUAAUAUUCUACGAAAUGUGUCUGUUUACCAGGAAUGCAUUUUGUGAGCCUUGGCAGGGCAGACACAGCACACUCGUUUCAUGCUAGUUGCAGUCUCUGCUUUCUGUUGCCUUCUCUUAACAAUCCUAGCCUUGGUUUUGAUCGGUGAAGCUCCUUAGUUACAGCACCUCUCCAGUGGGUGCCAUUGCCAUUCUAAGAGAACAGGAGAGGUGUUCAUGGCGAGUUCUGGCACUUCUUUUUUUAAAGAUAAUAAUAUCUAUAUUCCAGCCUUCACCAGAAGAUCACAGGGCGGUUUACAGUGUAAAACCACAAAAAUGCAUGGCACAACAUCAACGAGAACAACCAAUACCCCCCAGUCCCAAAGGGUCCUCUGCUGCCCAUGUCGUGCCGCUCUUCCCAUUUCUGAAUUAGCAUGAAAUCAGUUCUGCACUCAAUAGCUGGCAUUCAUCUUCUAUAGGGGAAAAACAUGCCUGGCCCAUAAGAGCUUUGAUGGCAAAAUCCUGUGUAGACCAGUUUUGUCGUGGUGAGACUUAAACGAAACCACAGGGUUUAAAAUUUUUAUUUCUGGAAGUUUCAGCUUUAGGGUGAACUUGCACAGAAGUGGGAUUGUUCUGCAUUAAUGGGAGCUUUUGAUUCCGGAGUGUCAAGCAGUUUGGAGUGCAUUUAAAUAGUUCCUCACUUAAAACAGUUGAUGGUGCUCAAGCGAUCGCUGCCAUCAUUCACUCCCCGGAACCACAAGCACUCUGCGCUCUUGCCUCUAGCAGAACACGAUCUGAAUAUAUUAUGUAGUCCAAGGAUCCAUGUGAUUUGCUGGCAGUCUUGUGCUGUUGUUCAUUUAUAUUUAUUCAGUUUCUUUAUUGCCCUUUAUCAAAAGAUCCCAGGGUGGUGUACAACAUUAAAAACACAUUGCAGAACUUCAGUGAUAAAAACAUAAUAAAAGGCAUAAUAAUAAUAAUAAUAAAUAGUCAUCAUAAUAACAGUCCACUUUUGCACACUUUCAAAGGCCGUAGAUUAUUUAAUAGUCCUGGGGAAAGAGGAAUGUUUUUGCCUGGAACCUAAGGACGUGCAAUGGUGGUGCCAGGCGAGCCUCUCUGGGAGGAGCGUUCCACAACUGGGGGGCCACCACAGAAAAAGACCCAGCUCUUUAAAGAAGUUGUAGGCCAGCCCUGUUCAUAGUAGAAGCCAUGGUAGAAGCUGACAAAGUUGUGUAGGACAGAGCUGAAGCUCAUACUAUGGUGUGUGUGUGUGUGUGUGUGUGUGUGUGUGUGACUAACGUGGCUCUCUAGAUGUUGCUGGACUCCAACUCUUAUCACCCCCAACUUGCAUGGGCUAGUAGCCAAGGAUGAUGGGAGUUGUAGUCCAGCCACGUGGGGAGGCUCAGAGGUGAGCCACCCCUGCAAUAAAGGACGAAGUAGGCGAAAUCGGGGUCUCAAUCCAAGUCUCCUGGAUCAGGCCAGACCUGCUUCUUUCGCAUUGUGCCCUCCAAUAUCGGGUGCCGAGUAUGAGCAAAGCAUAGAAAUGGCACAAUAUUCAUUCCCAUUUGGGUUGGCUGGCAACAGUUACGUUAAAGGUAAAGGUAAAGGGACCCCUGACCAUUAGGUCCAGUCGCGGACGACUCUGGGGUUGCGGCGCUCAUCUCACUUUACUGGCUGAGGGAGCCGGCGUACAGCUUCCGGGUCAUGUGGCCAGCAUGAUUAAGCCGCUUCUGGCGAACCAGAGCAGCAACAUGGAAACGCUGUUACCUUCCCACUGGAGUGGUACCUAUUUAUCUACUUGCACUUUGAUGUGCUUUUGAUAUGUUAGGUUGGCAGGAGCAGGGACCGAGCAACAGGAGCUCACCCCGUUGCGGGGAUUUGAACCGCUGACCUUCUGAUUGGCAAGUCCUAGGCUCUGUGGUUUAACCCACAGUGCUACCCGCAUCCCUAACAAUUACGUUACAAAGGCUUAUUUCAUUUAAAAACAAUUGGUACCAGAUCUUAAGUCAUAAAUGUCAUCUGUGUGCAGCAGCAGAGCAGGACUUCAGCGUCGUUGUUUGUGAAGGCAACCAUCGUGGUCUCCAGACCUAAAUUAUUUUCAGCAAUGCAUGCGCAGUUCUGAUGCACUUUCUUAACAUGAAAUAUGUCGUGUGGAAUGAGAGGAAUUGAGAACCGACAGUGCUGUUCUUUCAACGAGUAGGGGAAGCAAAACCUUCUGAUUCUCUCCCACCCCCUUUUAAAAAAAUGCUUUCUGUCACACAUCCCCUUCUUGAUUCAGUGUCGUUUGAGGCUGGCAUGUACCAAGUGUUCGCUGCGUUCUGCAUGCUGUUUCCGACCUGUCAGCAGCUGUUAAGGCUGUGACAGCAAGAUAAAAGGCGAUGUUCUGAAGUCUGAAGGUUUCUCAAAACCACAUCCCAGGCUCUCACAAUUCUUGUUUGCAAUGUUCGGAAGUAAAAUUGAGCAGAGCUCGCACACGGCUCUGAGUUGCACAUGACUGGCAGAUCUGCUUUGUGGGCAUCGGCUGAGGAUGAGGACAGUUCUUGCGUUCUUGGGUCCAUCUUUCGGCACGGAAGAUGGCUUGGCAAGUUAGGCUGCCUCUCGCUGUUUGGGGCACACCCUCUGGUCGCCAGUUGCAACCGUCAUGCGCCGUGGGUCCCAGCGCUCCGUGACACGAUGUUCGUGACAAUUUCGGGUAAAGUGAAAUCCCUCCCAUUUUUCAAUAUUUGUGUGUGAGUGCGUGAGAGAGAGAGAGAAGUAAUUUGAACAGAAAAAUAGUGACAUGCUUUUCGUUCUGAAAAAAAUGAAACCAAUAUUUGUGUGUGUUUCAGUAACUGGGGCAUGACUCUGUUUUCCCCCUCUGGUUGUGGUGCUCAACAGGAGAGUGCUCUUAUGUUGUGGCUUCCAGAUGCAAUUAAGGCUAUUUUCAAGCAUCCUUUUUGCUGCUUCUGAAUAUGCGCUGUGCCUCUGCACUUUAUGUUUAAGAGCAGGAAAUCUUGGAUUUAAAUCUGUUGAUUUAAAGCAGAGUCCAGCGGAAGGAUGAGGAAAAUGUGCUGCAUACUCUAUAUUGCUUUAUUUACAGUUCAAAGCUGGUAUAUUACAGAAAGACAUCUUGCCUCUGCAAGAGCAGAAAAUGCAUCCUCUCUCCUCGACAGCUCGGAGAGAAUCACACAGUGAAAAAACAGGAAACCAGUGUACGUCACAUCCAGUCUCCCUUUCCCGUGAGAAACUCCAACAGUACAGUACAGUACAGACUGUGGAAUGUAAACACCUGUCUUGUGACUGCAGUUGCUGCACAGUGAAGGAAAGCAGAAACUAACAUCCUCCCCCUUUCUGUGAACAUCACUGGGCAGCGUGUUCGUACAAUAUCAGUACAAACCCAACUUCUGCACAUAGGUACAGUGUUGAUCCCUCGAUACAAUCUUGGACAAUACAUCAGCAGGAAUUUCAUUACCUGGCAUAUAGGACACCGUUACGAGUCCCUUCUGAAUACAUUCCCUAGCAUGCUGCAACUUUAAUUGUAAGUGCUUUGUGCUUUGCUUACAACCUUCAGACUUCAGCAAAGCCAAACAUGCUUUGUUGUCCUGGUAAACCUGGAUUGGACAUUUGACAGGAAUUUUCAUAUCUUUGCACAAUUGUACUAACCAUUCACAAUCCUUAAGUGAAUAAGACAGUGCAUUCAGUUCGGCUUCACAAGUACUUAAGCUAACUGUUGUUUGCUUCUUGCAUGACCAAUCAAACAGACUCUGAUUGUACAUAUAGCAAACUCCAGACGUACUUUUCCUGUCUGUAGCGUCACUUCCAAAACUUGCAUCUGCAAAUAUCUCAAGACCACCAGACUUCUGAUUGUUAAAUCUCAGUCUGUAAUGCAUAGUGCCUUUCAAAUACCGCGCUAUGCGUUUCAGAGCUUUCCAAUCCUUGACACUCGGAUUGUUGACUUGUCUGCUUAGCAAAUUACAGCUAACAGCAAUGUCUGGUCUUGAACAUCUGGCAAUGAAGUUUAGCUUGCCUAGCACACUCCUGUACAGUGUAGUGUCAGAAAAUGCUUCUUCAGUGUCAUCUACCUGAUAACUUGUUGUCAUCGGUGUGUCUACAGGGUUAGCAUCCAUCAGAUUUAGUUUGCUUAACACAUCAGCAAUUUUCCGUGACUGGUGUACUAGAAUGUUACCAUCUUGAUCUCUCUCUAUUUCCAGAGAUAGGUAGUUGUUUACCUCACCAAGAUCUUUCAUGUCAAAGUGCUCUUUCAGUUGAGCUAGGCGCUAUUGUACAUUGCAACAUCUUUCCAAAAGAAUAAUAAAUCAUCAACAUAAAACAAACAGUACAGUUUCUUUUGCCCCUCCUCUUUGACAAAUACACAUGGAUCAGCUUUCCCUUGCUGAAAACCUAGAGAAAACAAUACUUCAGUGAGUUUUGUGUGCCAACACCGUGCACUUUGUUUGAGACCAUAAAGGGAUUUCUUCAGAGCACAAACAAAUCCCUGUUUUACCUGUACGCCAUCAGGUGGAAGCAUAUAAAGUGAUUCAUCUAGAGAUCCGUACAGAAAAGCUGUAUUAAUAUCAUGGUGACUAAUGUGUAGAUUUUCCUCUGCAGCUAGCUUGAGCAUAAGCCUAAUGCUUUCAUAUCUCACUGUGGGUGAAUAGGUCUCGUGAUAGUCUUCACCUGGUACCUGUGCAAAACCUCUGGCUACCAAUCUGGCUUUGUGUCUGACUAUCUUGCCAUUUUGAUCUGUCUUCGCUUUGAAGACCCAUUUGCUUCCAAGCAGUUUCAUUCCUGGAACUACUGGAACUAGCUCCCAUGUUUUGUUCCUUUCUAAGGAAUCAAGCUCAGCCUUCAUGGCAUUUAACCAUGGCUCAGCUUCCUUUGAAUCCAAACCCUGGAUUUCUUGGAAACUUGAAGGUUCAAAUACCUUCUUGGAGCUUUUAACAGCUGUUACUGCUAUCGUAGCAAACUCAUCAGCAAAUCUCUUUGGAGGUUUGCCUUUUGUGGCUCUCUGUGACCUACGAACUAUCCUUAAGUCUUCAACACUCUCCUCUUCCUUCUUAGGAGAAAAACGACCUAUUGUGAACAAUGGUUCCUCCAAUUCUUGAUCAGAGCUUUCAGAGGGUCGCAUAGAGGCUUUCGCACUCUUGAAAUCCUCUGAAUCACCCGAUUCAGUUUCAGAUUCAGACUCAGAACCUUCAUCAGUGGGUGUGGGCUGUUGUGGUUGCUUUUGACUAUCCUCAGUCUCAUCACCGUCAUCAGGAUAACAUUGGAAAAUUCCCACAUUCUCCCCACUUGGCAUUGUACUCGACACUUCUCGUGAGCUUAAUUGUCUUAGAGUCAGUCAUCAUUAUUCUGUAAGACCCUUUCUGAUAACCUAGAAAGAUACCAUGCAAUCCACGCUUGUCUAACUUGGAGUUUUGUGGUGAGCGAACCCACAUGUCAGAACCAAAAAUCUUCAUGUGUUUGAUGUAUGGCUUCUUGCCAAACAUCUUCUCAUAGAAGUACAACCAAUCGCUGAAGAUAGCCUGCGAUUGUAACUGUAAACAAAACACGAGAGAGAUUCGGCCCAAUAACUCUCUGGAAGAUUGGCAUCAUGCAGCAAGGUUUUUAAUCCUUGAAGCAAUGUCUGAUUUGCCCGUUCCGCAAGUCCAUUCUGCCAUGGCGAGCGAGGACUAGACAAAUCGUGUUGAAUUCCUUUCUCAGUCAGAAAAGCUUCAAACUGCUGAGAAGUGAAUUCCCCCCCGCGAUCACUGAAAAGUGUCUUUAUCUUCUUACCAUGCACAUUUUCCAACCAAGCACAGAAUUCCUUGAACCUAGGAAAAGCCUCCGAUUUCUGCUUGAGAUUGUACACAAAAAUAUAUCUAGAAAAUGCAUCAAUGAGAACCAUGAAGUAUCUAUUUCCACCCAAAGAGGGCGUAAGUGGUCCAACCAAAUCAGCAUGAACAACCUGGUAUGGUUCUGUAGCUUUCCUACUAGACACCUUACCUUUCGUAGCCAUUUUCACCUUGUUUGCUGCGCAUGCUUUGCACUUCAUGUGGUACCUGCAGGGUUUAAUAGUCAUACCUUCAACCAAGGCAGGCAUUUUAGAUACUGCCUCAAAAUGCAAAUGACCAAAUUUGCGAUGAAAAUCGUGAAUACAUUCUGCAUGUAAACUUUUGUUAGAACCUGCAAUGCAACAAGUGUCAUCCUGCACCACAUCAUCAUAAUACAAAACAAACAAACGAUCAACAUAUUCUGCAUGCAAUACAUAAUCAUUUUUCUUUGUGAUGAUGCACUUCUUGUUCUUGAAGGAAACGUCAAUGUUCCGCUCAUUCAGCUGUCCAACGCUGAGCAGAUUAUGUUUGGCGUCUGGCACGUAAAGCACAUUCUGUAUCGAUAAGUCCAAACUGUGAAGAACAACAGUUCCGUAGCCUUUACUGGGAAUAGUGUGGUCAUCCGCCUGGUGAAUCGCACCUUCCUGCGGUGUAAAAGACACAAACAGUUUCUUAUCGUUGCACAUGUGGUGGGUCGCCGCUGAAUCAACAACGAAGAAAGAUCUAGACGUCUUCUGGACCUCUGCAACCUUUGGAGUGAAGCGUGAAACCAUAGCCUUGUGCUGCGUUGUCCUUGACACCGGACCUUUGCCUUUGCCUCGGCCUUUCCGCGUGAUGAGCUUUCGCUGCGCUGCUCUGUCUUGGCCCUGGGAUGUCUGCAUUCCCUCUUCAUAUGGCCUAGACGUCCACACGUGUAGCAUUUCACUGCCUUCAAAGCUUUGGCGCCAUCUGGUGGUUCCACUGCACUAUGGGAUGACGUCUGUGAAGACUCCCCUUGCCCAUGCAGCUAGCACCCCGGCGAUCUGCUUCAUUUAAAAUCACGGCAGUAACAAAGUCCACUGUCAGCUGAGCAGUUGGUUGCACAGCAAUCUGGGUUGCAACAGACUCCCAACCUGAACCCAAAGAUUGUAGUAUCAUGAAAGAAUACACAGCCUCUGGAAAGUUGAGUCCUCUCUGUUGCAGCUCAUGUCUCAGAUUUUGCAUCUCCAUCAGAUGUAAACGCACAUCUCCACCUUCAGCAAGAGCCAUAUUAUGCAGCUUGUUAAAGUAGAACAUAGUUGAUCCAGCUUCUGUCCUUAAGUGAGCCUCUCUCAAAGCGUCCCAAAUUUCUCUGGCUGAGGUCUUAUCACGCAAUAGACAGAGCUCUUCUGGGGAUACUAUCAAUGUAAGAGUUCCCCUUGCUUUGGAAUCCUUAGCUUCCCAUGCAUCUGUAACUGGAACUGGGGGUUGCUGUAAUCACCUCAAACAAACCCUCUUUCCGCAGAAUUGCCUCUGCAUACUGAACCCAGUCGCUGUAAUUUUUCUUAUUGAGCUUAGGAAUCCUACAAGCAUCCUGAAGGGCCAUCAUGACUCUGGCAUUAGCCUUCAGCGUCAUAUGCUGCUUUAAAUCUUGCUGCGUCACUGCUGCAGCUGCCUCAUUACAAAGGCACACUUAAAAGUUACUUCGAUUUCCCCAGCAUAGUGACUUGUGCCUGGGAGCCUUUUGCCUAUUCCCGGCAAAACCGGCUUUAAAAGUUCAAAGUCCAGCCAUAAAGCCAUUAUCUUGAAGCUGGCAGGCUGCCCGGAGCAGUAGCACAUACCUCAUCAAUCACUUCUACGCGCAGAGCAGAUUCCUUUCCGAUCCGUCCCUCCCUCUGCAUUCCGAUCCUUUUGCCGGCACUCCGAUUCGACCUCUGGGCCCAUAACCACGUGUUGAUUUAAAGCAGAGUCCAGCGGAAGGAUGAGGAAAAUGUGCUGCAUACUCUAUAUUGCUUUAUUUACAGUUCAAAGCUGGUAUAUUACAGAAAGACAUCUUGCCUCUGCAAGAGCAGAAAAUGCAUCCUCUCUCCUGGACAGCUCGGAGAGAAUCACACAGUGAAAAAAACAGGAAACCAGUGUACGUCACAUCCAGUCUCCCUUUCCCGUGAGAAACUCCAACAGUACAGUACAGUACAGACUGUGGAAUGUAAACACCUGUCUUGUGACUGCAGUUGCUGCACAGUGAAGGAAAGCAGAAACUAACACUCGGAGCCUCUUAUUGUCCCUCCGUUUUAAAAAUAACUACCCUCCUUAUCUAGCGAAGGAUGCCUCCGGCAAUAGCAGGAAUGCAUUCCCUCGGUUUGAGUCAUAGCGAAAUAGCAUGGAGGGAAAGAGAAAGGAGAUGUUGACAAGGAGACCCUGGAUGGCGAAGCUUUAAAUUCAGCCCUUGCACGGGAGAAUUGGCAAUACGGCUUUGGAUGAGAUUUACGUUUAUCUCCUCCGGUGAGAGCCGCUUUCCGAGCAUCUGCUGACGUAUUCUGCCUUGAACGAAGGGAGCUUUAUAUAACCCACUUCAGCUGGGGCACUUCCGUUGCUCCUUUCAUUCUUUGCACCCCGGAAAGUAGAAGUUCGGUGCUGCAGCAGCACAUUUUAGCGACCCUCCUGCUGCCGUUUCCCCAAAUCAUUUGGCAAACCUAGAAGCCUGGCUUAUUACAGGUGUGUACAUUUCCUUGGGGACGUGGGUGGCGCCGUGGGUUAAACCACAGAGCCCAGGGCUUGCCGAUCAGAAGGUCGGCGGUUCGAAUCCCCGCGACGGGGUGAGUUCCCGUUGCUCGGUCCCAGCUCCUGCCAACCUAGCAGUUCAAAAGCAUGUCAGAAUGCAAGUAGAUAAAUAGGUACCGCUCCAGUGGGGCCAGUAAAGCGAGAUGAGCGCUGCAACCCCAGAGUCGGCCACGACUGGACCUAAUGGUCAGGGGUCCCUUUACCUUUACGUUACAUUUCCUUGAGAGCAUCUGGUCCAAGGAGGAACUCGCUUUUCAAUCAGGUGCUUCACCUGUUCCUCCCAAAAGCUUAAGCCCACCAUUUCCCAACUGAACAUUAAAGGUAAAGGGACCCCUGACCAUUAGGUCCAGUCAUAACCAACUCUGGGGUUGCGGCGCUCAUCUCGCUUUACUGGCCGAGGGAGCCGGCGUACAGCUUCCGGGUCAUGUGGCCAGCAUGACUAAGCCGCUUCUGGCGAACCAGAGCAGCGCAUGGAAACGCCGUUUACCUUCCCACUGGAGCUGAACCUAUUUAUCUACUUGCACUGGUGUGCUUUCGAACUGCUAGGUUGGCAUGAGCAGGGACCGAGCAACGGGAGCUCACCCCGUCGCGGGGAUUCGAACCACUGACCUUCUGAUCGGCAAGCCCUAGGCUCUGUGGUUUAACCCACAGCGUCACCCGUGUCCCUGUGACGCACUGGGAAUUGUACAAAAAGAACUGAACAUUAGUAAUUAUUUUGGCCCUGUUUUGUGGAUCAGAUCGUAACAGAUAACAUAUCUUUGGACCAGUUCCUAUUUCUAAUGCCCUGCAAAGACUUGGUUUAUCUUUUACAAAUAUAAGAAUGCAGAAUCUGGAUAGAUGCAGAUGCAUGCACAUCAGACUCUACUUCUGUUUUCUUCUUCGGUCUGAACUCUGCUGCCCGAGGAAUACAAAGUUCAAGCUUGCAAAGCUUUUAGUGGGCUAUGUAAGCAAUUUAUUUUCAUCUUACAUCUGAAAUAUAAAGGCCUUUUGAUUUUGUUAGCUUGGUUCAUAAUACCGAAAGCAGAAAGGUAUUUUGUCACUUCUAAAGAGUAAUGAAUUGUAUUAUGAUUAGGGAUAGAAAAAGGAAUUGGGCCUUGUUUGCAUUUGCAUGCAAAUCUAAUUAAUCCAUGUGUCCUGAAGCGAUAUGUGAAACAAAAUGCAACUCUUCUUCAAAAUCUGCACUUCUGUAACCAUAAAAAAUGUGCAUAUUAUGGGAAUGUGUGCUUCCCAUAAUAUUAUGGGAAUGUGUGCUUCCCAAGAAUGCAUAUAUUAGUGAGAAAAACAUAGGAAUAUGCACUGUAUUAGGGGAAAUCACUUGCAAAAUCUGCACGUUGGGCAAAAUUGCAAAGAAAAAUAUGUGUGUUAGGAUUAAUGGAUGCUAAAGCACUGACGAAUCUCUGGGAGGAUUUUAAAUAAAACAUCUAGAAAGCGAUGUGGAAAUGAGGCAAAUGGAACCUAUGUUUGAAAAACGAGAAACGAAAAUGGACAGAUCCACACUAUAAAUAUUUGUGAACGAGGUUGCGCUUCUGAGAAAGUGGACUCCGGUCAACAGAAACGUUUGCCGUAAUAAAUUUAUUGUGCCUUUUAAGAUGCCUCAAGACUCUUGACUGGUUUGGCAGCUGUAGAGCAGCAGAGCUACCUCUCUGGAAAUUGGGGGAAAGCAAAGUUCUCUUCUGGGGCGAGGUGCAGUUGCGCAGCUAGAUAAGGAAUAUACAGACAGCUUUGACACUGGUAAUCAUGUUGUGCGGAUGCCUGAUUAUCGUCUUCCAAAGCAACUACUCUAUUCCGAACUUAAAAAUGGAAGGCGUAAUGCUGGUGGUCAGCAAAAGAGGUUUAAAGACUGUCUCAAGGCAAAUCUUUAAAAAAUGUUGUAUAAACACCGACAACUGGGAAGCACUGGCCUGCGAGUGCUCCAACUGGAGAACAGCCUUUACCAAAGGUGUCAUGGGCUUUGAAGACACUCGAACUCAGGACGAAAGGGAGAAACGUGCUAAGAGGAAGGCAUGCUUGGCAAAUCCACACCGUGAUCAACUCCCACCCGGAAACCUAUGUCCCCACUGUGGAAGGACGUGUGGAUCCAGAAUUAGCCUCCACAGUCACUUACGGACUCAUCGUUAAGACCAUUUUCACGGAAGACAAUCUUACUCAGCUAGGUAAGGUAAAGGUAAAGGUAAAGGUACCCCUGCCCGUACGGGCCAGUCUUGACAGACUCUAGGGUUGUGCGCCCAUCUCACUCAAGAGGCCGGGGGCCAGCGCUGUCCGGAGACACUUCCGGGUCACGUGGCCAGCGUGACAAAGCCGCAUCUGGCGAGCCAGCGCAGCACACGGAAACGCUGUUUACCUUCCCGCCAAUAAGCGGUCCCUAUUUAUCUACUUGCACCCGGGGGUGCUUUCGAACUGCUAGGUUGGCAGGCGCUGGGACUGAGCAACGGGAGCGCACCCCGCCGCGGGGAUUCGAACCGCCGACCUUUCGAUCGGCAAGCCCUAGGCGCUGAGGCUUUUACCCACAGCGCCACCCGCGUCCCUACUCAGCUAGGAGUGAUCGCCAAAGAAGAAUAAAUGCACACAGCAUAUGCAAGAACAUUGAACCCCACAUCGUAUCUGAAACCCUCUUGCGGUCAAAGCUCUCCAAUACAAACACACAUGCGGAAUAGUUGCGAUGGAACUGGAAGCAUCUUUGCCUGCCUGCUAUGCCAAAAAGCUCUGUGUACUAACAGACGGUAGUGGCUGCUGGGGCACCCGGCGUAAUAAAAUUUGGCCGGAGACGUGAUGUUCUGCUAGGCUAAUGACCUGUGAAAGUAUGGAAGAGGGGCUUUGGUGGUUGUUAAGUGCUGCAACAGAGAAGGAAACCAAGGAUGCGUAUGGAAGGCAAGGCUGGAGCCAAGAGAUUCUUGCUUUUGCUGAUUGACUCCGCAGAUCCCGUUUUGCAGCAUUCCCCCGACAGUUGAAUGGGACCCGUCCCCUGCGGUUCCAGCACCCGGGAGGUGGCUCCAGCCCUGGGGAUGUGCCGUGGGGUCAGGGCGUGUGGAAAGGGCUUCCUGAUAAACCGGGGCCUUCGGCAUCGGAGCCGAGUCCACGAUUCUGCCGUGCGACUGUGGGAAAAUAGCUGUGGGGGCUCCAACAUGGAGUGUCUGCUCUGAGUUGCUCCAAGAACAGCUUGUUCAGGCCUUUAGUCUUUCCAAGGGGAAUGGAGGCAGCAGGAAAAGGCAGACAAAACUAUUGAAGGGGCUUCCAUGCAUGGACAAGUAGCAAAGUUUGAGGCUUUUUUUUUUAUUUAGAGAGAAGGCAAGUAAGCAGGUUUAUGUUAGAGGUGUGUGAUGUGGAGAAACUAGACGUCCUGGCUGGAUUUCUGUAUUUAUCCCCGUUUUGCUUUUUAAAUAUUGUGGGUUUGUGCACCGCUUAGAAAUUACAAGAAUAUUAAGCCGUCCAGAAAUACUUUUAAAUCAAAAAAUCUCUUACCUUUAAAGCCAAAAUAAAAUUGGGGGGAACUUAUAACAUCAAUUUUUCUAAGACAAGGUGAAAAUCCAGUCUAUUCCUAGGUAAAGGUAAAGGUAAAGGGACCCUUGACCAUUAGGUCCAGUCGUGACCGACUCUGGGGUUGCGGUGCUUAUCUCGCUUUAUUGGCCGAGGGAGCCACAGUUUCCGGGUCAUGUGGCCAGCAUGGCUAAGCCGCUUCUGGCGAACCAGAGCAGUGCACGAAAACGCCUUUUACCUUCCUGCCAGAGUGGUACCUAUUUAUCUACUUGAACUUGAUGUGCUUUUGAACUGCUAGGUGGGCAGGAGCAGGGACCAAGCAACGGGAGCUCACCCCGUCGCGGGGAUUUGAACCGUCCACCUUCUGAUCGGCAAGUCCUAGGCUCUGUGGUUUAACUCACAGUGCCACCCGCGUCCCAGUCUAUUCCUAGGGAAACACAAAAUCCCAUAUCUGGAUUCUUCAGGCAACCCGCUAGGUUUGGAUUUUACUGCCUUUUGAACUCAUUGGAGUUACUCAAAAUAUAACAGGGCAGGCAGAAGGACAAUACACACAUAUAGUACACAGGCAACAUUUGACACUUAACCCUUGGUAUUUUCUACAAUCAUUAAGAAGAUAUUAGCAGAAUGAGACCAUUGCAGCAGCAGAAGUCAGUUUGUUAAAACGCACCUUAUGAAAAGAAAAUUUUGUUUUUUCUCCAAAAUGGGAAGCGAGGGAGCUUCCUUGUGAAGACAGUCCUGUAGCUGUGGAAAGCCUUUCCUUGGUACCCGAUAAUAGAAUAAUCGAUACAGGAAGAGCACGCCUUAAAGCAUGGGCAGAGUGCCUUCUCCCCGCGCACAGAUUGACUACAGCCUGUCAUUAAGAAACAGGGGGUCAAUUGCCUACCAGCCCACCCAUUAAUCCUAGCUUGCCAACUCUUGAACUCGUUUCAGCCUUUUUUUACUUUACUGGCGGCGUGUAAAGGUAAAGGGACCCCUGACCAUUAGGUCCAGUCGUGACCGACUCUGGGGUUGUGGCGCUCAUCUCGCUUUAUUGGCCGAGGGAGCCGGCGUACAGCUUCCGGGUCAUGUGGCCAGCAUGACUAAGCCGCUUCUGGCGAACCAGAGCAGCACACGGAAACACCGUUUACCUUCCCGCCGGAGCGGUACCUAUUUAUCUACUUGCCCUUUGACAUGUUUUCGAACUGCUAGGUUGGCAGGAGCAGGGACCGAGCAACGGGAGCUCACCCCGUCGCGGGGAUUCGAACUGCUGACCUUCUGAUCAGCAAGCCCUAGGCUCUGUGGUUUAACCCACAGCGCCACCCACGUCAGCGGCGUACAAACCAUGCCUUUAAUGCAUAUUUUUAUAACAUAAUUUCCCCCAAAGAAUCCUGGGAGCUGUACUUUAUGCUUCAUAAAGCUACAAUUCCCAGCACCCUGAGCAAACUACGGAUCCCAGGGACCAUUUUCUGACAGACUCUUCCUUCCUGGUACUGACUAAAGCUCCGCGUGCCUGGCGUGCAUUUAAAGCACCCGCCCUCUAGAAUCUAGGGACGUGUAGUUUGCCACUGGCAGAGCUACAAUUCCUUAACAGACGCCAGCUCCCAGGUUUCUUUGGGUGAAGUCGCAUACUUUAAAUGCUCGGCGAAUAUGAAGCCUACAUGUGCGCAGGAUGAGUCACAGGCCGGGGUGAGCUGGAAGACUCAGAAAUGCCUGCCAAGCUCAUGGGCUCGUGUAUCACCUCUUUGUCCUCCUGGCACAAGCGAUCUCGUCAUUCGCAGUUCCACGCAGAAACACAGUGCUCUGCGAGUGACUCAAGCGGUUGAAACGCCCUGGGAUUUAUUGUCUGUGGAGUCGGGGGGCUUGCUCUGAAUUGCAAUGCAUUCACCUACAAAGCGUAUUUGAGUGUUGGAGAAUUCGGUUGGAAACUGAAAUGGGAGUGGACGUUGCCUCGGUUUUUACGUUUGUCUUGAGGUCAGAAAUGGAAAUCACGCAAGCAGAUAUGUUCACUGGGUUUUUUUUAGUCCACGAUUACUCCAUCAAUAAUUACGUUGUGUUGUGCAUUGUUUCUGACAUUUCCAUUCCGCUGAAACGCAUUGACAUCAAUUGCAAUUACAGAGGAAGCUCGGGCUGCGAAUGUGAUCUGUGCGGGAUGCACAUUCACAACCCGCAGCGCCGCGUCAGCGCAGGCGCGGGUUGCGAUUUGGCACUUCUGCGCAUGUACAAAGUGCAAUUUAGCGCUUCUGCGCAUGCGCAACCAGCAAAACCUGGAAAUAACCCAUUCUGGUACUGGGUUUUGGCGGUCCAUAACUCGAAAAAACGUGACCUGAAGCAUCUGUAACCCGAGGUAGGACUGUAUUGAAAUCUUUUUCAAUAGCAAGACAGCAAGACGAAUAACGUACGUUUUUGCAGAAGCAGAACUGCAUCACGAUGGAAAGAGCGUCGAUUGCAAAUUAAAAAGGAAGGGACAGAAACUGCUGCCUCCUUGCAUCCCAGGUCCUGGAUGCGUUAGGAACUUAAGGGCUGUUUGGUAGACAGCGGAGUUGACACGGCAUAUCCACUUGCUGCAAAAUUCUAAGUCAUGUUUUUUGGUGUGUCUUAUUUAGCAAAGCAUACGAAGGGAAGCUGAAACACCCUCAAAAUGUCUCAAGGGGUUUUGCAUAUCCCUAGCUGAGAGCCGGUUUUCGACGCCACAAAUUGCCAUGCAUUUGCAUUGUGCAAAGCACAGAGAGCAUGCCACAAGGCGGUCAUGGUACAUGGACCCAGCACCAUGUGACAGGGCAUGGUAGGUGCUCCCCGUAAUUGCUAAGUGUGACAGCUCUCUGUGACAGCUGUUUUCUAAUUGUGCAUUCAUGUCGAGUUCACUUCCUUAAAUAUAAUGAACCUCCUCCAAACCUUGCCCUGUAAACCAAGUGGAACACAGACGCGGCAGAGGCAGUAUCUGGAAUCCAAAUGUGAAUGUCUUCCUCUGCAUUUUUCAUGCACCCAGCUUCUAAGGAAAUGCACCUUCAACUAGCUAUGUGCAUCUCCAGGUCUCCCUUGCCAACAGAAGAUCUUGCAUUUGCAAACCCUCCUUGCCUGUGUUGGGUCAUGGAGAUGCCCCCAGAGGAAGAUUUUGUGCUAUUCUCUCAAUAAUAAUAAUAUAUUUCCCCAGCCACUUUGGGCAGCUUCCAACAAAAUAUUAAAAAUACAAUAAAUCAUCAAACAUUAAAAGCUUCCCUAAACAGAGCUGCCUUCAGAUGUCAUCUAAAAGUCAGAUAGUUGUUUGUUUCCUUGACAUCUGGUGAGAGGGCUUUCCACAGGGUGGGUGCCACUACCGAGAAGGCCCUCUGUCUGGUUCCCUGUAAUCUCACAUCUUGCAGGGAGGGAACCGCCAGAAGGCCCUUGGAGCUGGACCUCAGUGUCUGGGCAGAACGAUGGGGGUGGAGAUGCUCCUUCAGGUAUACAGGACUGAGGCCAUUUAGAGCUUUGAAGGUCAGCACCAAUACUUUGAAUUGUGCUCGGAAACGUACUGGGAGCCAAUGUAGGUCUUUCAAGACCAGUGUUAUGUGGUGUCAGCGGCUGCCCCCAGUCACCAGUCUCGCUGCCGCAUUCUGGAUUAGUUGUUUCCGGGUCACCUUCAAAGGUAGCCCCACAUAGAGCGCAUUGCAGUAGUCCAAGCGGGAGAUAACCAGAGCAUCCCAAGCGGACGCUGCCUCUUUCUGAUCUGCUCCUGUGCUGAUGGCGACUGCCUGGGCAGAAAGGGGAUUUUCCUGUACAUUUCUUAAGGUCACGGUUUUUAGGGCUCGUUCACCACUGCGGCUUACAUCUGACCCACCCCGAAGCAGCUGAAACUAUUAACCCAGCAAAGCUUUUGUUUGACGUAAGCCCUGCCCUUUAAGCGCCUUUGCGGAAGCCACGGACUGACGCAGGAUCGACCAGCCCUCCUCUAUGCUGCUGCUUGCUAUCGAAUGAUAGGUCACUCACUGGGAACGGCAUGCACCACGGCAACAUCUUGAGAGGUUCUGCACAUUCUCUCCUGCACAUAUGACGUUGGGCACGCCUAGCUGCUUUCGUGUGUCCCACCUGCAUACCCAGACGCUCUUCCUGGUCUUGGGCCAUGGGUUUCACCCUGGCAACACUGCUUCUUGGCAAUCUCCCCCAUGAAACUCCUUGAAGGGGUUGUGUUUGAAGUUCUCUGAACAUGUGCAGAGUAGAGUGUCUUUGGCAGAGUGCCAACACUACCUCCCUUUCCAACAGAACUGGGAGUAGGUCUGAUAUACUUGGGUUUUUCCCCUCCUUACACAAAGGUGCACUGCAUAGCUGCUCUCCAGCAGGGAAGGCAGGACCCAUGUUCUGUGAGAUUACAGUGGUACCUCGGGUUAUGAACUUAAUUCAUCCCGGAGGUCCGUUCUUAACCCAAAACCGUUCUUAACCUGAGGCAUACUUUCGCUAAUGGGGCCUCCCGCUGCCACCGUGCCGGCAGCGUGCGAUUUCCGUUCUCAUCCUGGGGCAAAGUUCUCAACCCGAGGUACUACUUCUGGGUUAGCGGAGUUUGUAACCCGAAGUAACCCAAAGCGUUCGUAACCUGAGGUACCACUGUAUUGUUGAAAUUCAGCACUAGGUGUUUUAUCGACUGUGGGGGAAGAUGUCAUUUAUUUCUGAUGAAAACAAGAAUUGAAUUUGUGGCUGUUUGCUUAUUCAUUCCAUAUCCAUAAUGCAAUCAAUUAUGCAAAUGAUACUCUGUUGUUGUUGUUGUUAUUUAUAUCCUGUUUCUCCCCAGACUGGGACUCAAAGUGGCUUACACAAAUUAGAACCACAGAGAUGAAAUACAAAAAGCUUUUAAAAAAGAAGUUAAAAAGUAAUUCAACAUACAGUCGUACCUCGGGUUACAGACCCUUCAGGUUGCACGAUUUCGGUACCGGAAGUACCGGAACUGGUUACUUCAGGGUUUAGGUGCUUUGCACAUGCACAGAAGCGCUGAAUCGCAACCUGCGCAUGCGAACAUGCGGCACUGCUGGUUGCGAACGCUGCGGGUUGCGAACGUGCUUCCCGCACGGAUCACAUUCACAACCCGAGCGUCCACUGUAUUUCAUUAUGUCCUCACCCGCUUUGCAUUGCAUUUCCUCUGCAUUGAAAUGAAUGCUGUGAAAUGACUUAUUGAUGACAUAAUUUACCUAGUUCAUUCUGUAAAUUAUGUAGCUUACGUAAUUUGGCCACAGUGGACAGCGAGACAAAUAAUGUACGUUUUGGUGGAAUACCAGCUGCAGUGGAAUGGAAACAGUGCGGCCUGCGACUUAUACAGGGUGGAACGGAAAACGAUGCUUUCUUACAUCCCAAAGGUGUUAAAUAAGAAUAAGAAUGAAAUAAUUAAUUAUUAUAUUUACAUACCACCUUUCUUUCCAAUGAGCUCAAAGUAGUGUACACGGUGUAGUGGUUAAGAGCGGUGGACUCGUAAUCUGGUGAACCGGGUUCGCUUCCCCGCUCCUCCACAUGCAGCUGCUGGGUGACCUUGGGCUAGUCACACUUCUCUGAAGUCUCUCAGCCCCACUCACCUCACAGAGUGUUUGUUGUGGAGAAAGGAGAAUGUUAGCCGCUUUGAGACUCCUUAGGGUAGUGAUAAAGCGGGAUAUCAAAUCCAAACUCUUCUUCUUCUUAUAUGCUCGCAACAACCCUGUAAGGUAGGCUAGGCUGAGAGGCAAGGGCUGGUCUCCAAGGUCCCCCCAGUGAGCAUCAUGGGGCUGAGUGGGGAUUCGAACCCUGCUCUCCCAGGUCCUAUUCCAACACUCUUAACCGCGGCGUUGCAGAUUGUGUCCCACUGUUUGUAUUAGGAGGUUCUCCUCGUGGGAAAACAGAGCUCGUAAAUGCUGACAGAUUUUAUUCUCUCCUUCUCUCUUAAACGGUAACAUAGAUGUGGCAUCCCUGCUGGGAGAAAUCGAGAUGUGUGAAAGAAGUUCAGGAUGUUCUGGCUUUUGCCUGGGAGGGAUACCCUCUCGUUGUGAAAAAGGGCCUGCGUCCCACAUUAGCUCUUUUAGGGAAGGAGCGUGCAGCCAGCGUUUACUCACAACAAUAAAAACAAAACAGCCACCCUCGGCCCUGAAUGCAUUUUGGCACAAAAGCACCAUUAAGGACAUUUGUUUGGCGUGUGUGUCCAGCCGGCUGGCCCAGAAACUGCAAUCCUGGCUGCCUUUUGGGAAGGCAGAUCUAGCCAAUAAAUUCCAGAAUUAGCAGUAAACAGACCCAUUUCCUAGGAAACUCUGGCAUGAGGUCGGAGGGGAAAUCCCUGCUCGUUUGGCCCCAGAAGAUUCUCCGCCGCUGUGCUGGACCAUGUUUGGAAGAGACCACGUUUAAUGUUGGAAAAGAUGGAGAGCAGGGGCCUCGUCUGCAGGAAUGUGCAAGAGCCACAUCGUUUGGGGUCGCUGAAAGAAAAGGAGGUGGCAAAGAUCACCAAAAGGACCUCUUUUCAAACUAAGUGGAUGGGCAGUAAAACGGCGAAUGCAAUUCAGUGUAGACAAAUGUAAAGUGAUAGGGGGCGGGAACUUAUGCCUUAUGAGGAACGGCUAAGGGAGCUGGGCAUGUUUAGCCUGGAGAAGAGGAGGUUAAGGGGUGAUAUGAUAGCCAUGUUCAAAUAUAUAAAAGGAUGUCACAUAGAGGAGGGAGAAAGGUUGUUUUCUGCUGCUCCAGAGAAGCGGACACGGAACAAUGGAUCCAAACUACAAGAAAGAAGAUUCCACCUAAACAUUAGGAAGAACUUCCUGACAGUAAGAACUGUUCGACAGUGGAAUUUGCUGCCAAGGAGUGUGGUGGAGUCUCCUUCUUUGGAGGUCUUUAAGCAGAGGCUUGACAACCAUAUGUCAGGAGUGCUCUGAUGGUGUUUCCUGCUUGGCAGGGGGUUGGACUUGAUGGCCCUUGUGGUCUCUUCCAACUCUAUGAUUCUUUGAACCUUAAUUUUGCAUAUAUGCAAAUGGGUUCUGAGCUGGCGGUGAUGGACCAGGAAUGAGACCUUGGAGAUAUCUUGAUGAACAUGUCAACCCACUGGGAGCAGCUCUGAACAAGGCAAGUUCGGUGCUAGGGAUCAUUAUAAAAGGAACUGUGAAUAAUGGUGCCAGAAUCCUAACGCAGGGAUACAAAUAUGUAGUGCAACCACAUUUGGAAUACUGUCUGCAGUUCUGGUCACCUCACCUGUGCUGGAAACCACAGGGGGAGAAGAGGGCUUUUGUGCUCAGAUCCGGCUUGUGAGCUUCCAAUAAUGGGUAUCUGGUUGUGUUUUUUUUUUAAAAAGGUAAAGGACCCCCGGAUGGAUGGUUAAGUCCAGUCAAAGGUGACUAUGGGGUUGUGGUGCUCAUCUUGCUUUCAGGCUGAGGGAGCCGGCAUUUGUCCACAGACAGCUUUCUGGGUCAUGUGGCCAGCAGGACUAAACUGCUUCUGGCACAACGGAACACUGUGGCGGAAACCAGAGCGCAUGGAAAUGCCGUUUACCUUCCCGCCGGAGCAGUACCUAUUUAUCUACUUGCACUGGUGUGCUUUCGAACUGCUAGGUUGGCAGGAGCCGGGACAGAGCAACGGGAGCUCACUCAGUCGCGGGGAUUCGAACCGACAACCUUCCGAUUGGCAAGCCCAAGAGGCUCAAUGGUUUAGACCACAGCGCCACCCGCCUCUGGUUAACCACUGGGCGAACAGGGUGCUGGAUGAGAUGGGCACCCUUGGGCCUGACCCGUAACACUUGCUGAUGACCACAUCAUGAAAGAUGGGUCUAUCAUUGGGCGAUAAUUCUUAUGGACCAAGUAGAAUCUCCAUCAUUAAAGUAGUGUAUCUCUUUGUUGAUGGUUGCGGAGAACAAACACAUUGACCAUCGCCUUCAUGCCCACCUUGAAAAUUUCCUAGGUGACCUAAUGAUGCUGCUGAAACCCAACUCCCAUCAGUGCCCACUGAGGUCCAGCGCCGAGGGCCUUCUGGCAGUUCCCUCAUUGCAAGAAGCAAAGUUACAGGGAACCAGGCAGAGGGCCUUCUCAGUAGUGGCACCCGCCCUGUGGAACGCCCUCCCAUCAGAUGUCAAAGAGAUAAACUACAUGACAUUCAGAAGACAUCUGAAGGCAGCCCUGUUCAGGGAAGUUUUUAAUGUGUGACAUUUUAGUGUAUUUUUGGUCUUUGUUGGAUGCUGCCCAGAGUGGCUGGGGAAACCCAGCCAGAUGUGUGGGGUACAAAUAAUAAAUUAUUAUUAUUAUUAUUAUUAUUAUUAUUAUUAUUAUCCCAAAAACUCUGGACAAUCAUCCCCCCAAAAAGUUCAAAGCUCAACAACUCUGGGCCAUCUCCCCCCUCCCCAUUUUCUUAAAUUUGAGUCCUGCAAAAUAUAGGUAGUCUUGUACGGGGGCAUGUUAUACACGGAAAAAUACUGUAUAAUCCUCCUUCUCCUCAGCCAGAGCUAAUUGAUUUGUGUGACUUGCUUGCUCAUUCAUUCUCCCUGUACUUCGUCGCUCUCUUGAUUGUGCAACCACAAGGAGCUAUCCACGGCAGCACUUCUGCAGGGGAGAAAAAGACGGGGCUGCUUGCUGGAGCCGCUGCUUUAACCUUAAUUGCCUGCGUUCUGUCACUUACCUGAGGCUGCUAGCUAGCAAAGCAGUAGGAAAGGAACUUUGCUUUCCAAAGCAGCUGGUUUUGUUCUUGCUGUUCUGGGCCUGACUCUGUCUUUGUCUGGUGAAGUGUCAGAGACUCUGGAGACAGGCAGGAAUACAGUGGUACCUCGGGUUAAGUACUUAAUUCGUCCUGGAGGUCCAUUCUUAACCUGAAACUGUUCUUAACCUGAAGCACCACUUUAGCUAAUGGGGCCUCCUGCUGCCGCCGCGCUGCAGGAGCACGAUUUCUGUUCUCAUCCUGAAGCAAAGUUCUUAACCUGAAGCACUAUUUCUGGGUUAGCGGAGUCUGCAACCUGAAGCGUAUGUAACCCAAGGUACCACUGUACCUGCCCCCUUGCCCUGUCUUUCUAUACGGUGUAGAAAGAUAAAUUCUCCGAAAAGUACAAUAGAUAGUCUGCUGCAAUGUGGCAUUGCCAUGCAGAUGCAUGGAAACAGAUUCUAAGAUUUUGCAGCAGUGAAUUUGCUCCUGUGAGCCAGUGGUUACAAUCGCAAAUGCACCCGAGUCAGACCAGACACAAAAUGAAUUUGAAAGAUUUGUUUAAAUCGCAGCGCAGGAACGAUGAAGAUAGACACACCCAGUGAUAUCUGAAAUACAAGGAGAGAAAAUAAUGCAUGAAUGAAACAGAGGAGAGCGAUUUGUAAAGGGAAAGCAUUGUUAGACUAGCAAAUAAAGUUUUUCUUUAUUUAAAAAAUGGUUAUUAUGCCCUGAUUGAAAACCUCCAGAAAAAUCCCUUCCAUCAGUUCCGACUAGUUAAAGGUUUACUAAACUGCCUUAUAGCAGCUUAACCUGAAGAUUAAGGAGCGGGGUUGGAUUAUGGCCUGCGUGGACGAAUGAGGAAAGUUGAGAAAGAUGAAACGGUUGAACAGGAGCCCAAAUGGCACAAAUCGGAAGUUAGUUCAGGAAAAAAUAGAGAAGUGUUUAAAAUUGAAAAAAGUGAAGCCUAAGACUUACAGAGGAAUAAACAGAAAGUAAAAUGAAAAUGAGGGGAAGCAAAAACCCUAUAAAUCUUGCAUCUGUUUCAGAACUGUUCAUCCUGGCUCAGGAAAAAUGCCCAAGAUCAGCUUCUGGAGGUAAAUGAGUUUCUUAUAUUUUGAGUCACUUUUUUCUCUUGCCCCAUUCCCCCCACUAAAAUUCACUUCUGUAUUGGCAAAUGAAGCAUCGAAGGCAGGCCCCUGCUAAAAGCAGGUGUUUUGCUUUAGAUGAUUUUAAAUUAUUUUGGGGGAGUGACAUAUUCCCAAGCUUAAUCUGGGCGAAGGAGUCUCCCGAAGGCCACUCUAAGCUGCUAAUGAACCUUCUAUCUUCACCCGGCCUCGUGAUCUCAGCUUGACUAAAGACUCGCCAGGCUUUCUGCUUCCAGGCAGAUGGAGAGACCUUUGUGCCUUUGAAGGAGACAGCUCUGCCUGCUUAAAACCGUGAGCCACAGCACUCUGGAGCAAUGUUUGCUCCCACUUCGUUCCUCGAGAUUCUCUUCUGCCAUGCAAGCAGACACACGUCUCCGAAAAAGAGCGGAAUAACAGGAUCAUGGGAUUGGAAACGGCAGUCUAUCGGAGAUGCCAUCAGGUUCAGAGGUGGAUCAUCUCCUGUGCUUGCAGAAGGUCUUGGGUCCAAUCCCAGGCAUCUCCAGGUGGGCCUGGGAAAAGGCUUCCUGGCUGAAACCCUGGAGAGGGCUGCUGCCAGUCAGAGUAGACAGUAUUGCCCAAUGGUGUCGCUCUGUAUAAUGCAGUUUCUUAUUCUGAUUUCUGGGCCUGCCUUUCCGUCUUGCUUCUAGACUGCAGAGAGGCGAACAGCCUAAUUUGAGUUCAACAGACACCAGCCCAGGGGAGAGCAGCCACAUCAACCUCGAAGCACCCUACUUUCGCCUGCUUGCUCGUUUCAUUUAUUUGCAGA